rnacentral:lncRNA from 1 species
UCAAAUCUACUCGAUUCCUUUUAGUAGCAUUUUUUUUUUGUAUAUUUUUUAUUUUUCUCUAGCUAUGGUUUAUCUAGCUAUGAAAUUUUUUUGUAUUAUUAUUUGGUUUGCUAGGGUUUUGCACAACACACUAUUAGUUUAAAUAUGGAAGGGCAAUAAAGUUUAGUAAAGUUUAAUAUAGAUAAAUUAUUUAAUGGACAUGUUAUUGUUUAAAAAGACAAAGUAAAUACAUGAAUUAGUAAAAUUUGUUUAGUUAUAACAGGUUGUAUUAGCUAGGUAACUACAAGGUAGUUUUUGUUUUUAAAGAAACAAACAGCAAUCUUGUUGAGUGAGUAUUUUGUUAGUCUUAUAGUUUAGUUAAAAAUUGAAUGCCAUCACAAAAAGAUAGAAGUGUAAUAGAGGUCAUAAAAUCAUAAGUAAAUAAAUAAAGGGUAUGUAAUUCUUCACAUGAGAAAAAGAUUAAUGGUAUUUUAGUCAAAUCAAGUGUUUCAACAGAGUUCAUACUUAUAUAUACAAUUAUUGAUUUAUGGUUCCUAAUAUAAGAAAUACGAUCAUAUAAAUUGUUCCUUGAGUAUUCUUUACGAUGUCUUGUUUUUUCACAAUUUUUUCUCAUUGCUAAUUUUUUGUGUGCGUCAGGUUUUCUUUACUCCUGAAGGAAAGGGGUGGGGUCUCAGAACUCUAGAAUUGCUACCAAAAGGUACAUUUGUAUGUGAGUAUGUAGGGGAGAUCCUAACCAACAAGGAGUUCUACGAGAGGAAGAUGCAAAGGGCAACUAGCAACAAAACUGAAAAGCAUGCCUAUCCAGCUGUACUUGAUGCAGAUUGGUGCUUGAAAGGAGUUGUAAAUGAUGAAGAAGCUCUGUGCUUGGAUGCGACAUUUUAUGGAAAUGUUGCUAGGUUUAUCAACCACAGGUAAGACUGUAUAUCUGAUGCAUAUUGCUUUGAGCAGUUGAUCUCCCAUAGACUUUUUUUCUUUCUUUUCUUUUUGAACUUUUCAGUUGGUUUUCCUUAUUUCACAUGCACCGGAAAAAUUCUUAAUUUCUAUCAGAAAAAGAAAAGAGAAAAAUGAUGAUAUGAAGUUUCAGCCCUACAUAAGUAAUCUUCCCUGUGCUGGUGAUCAGAGAGUUGAUGCAUUCUGAUAAAUGUUCUUUUGUUUUUGUUAGAUGUCUCGAUGCUAACAUGAUCGAGAUCCCGGUGAAGAUUGAGACCCCUGAUCAUCAUUAUUAUCAUGUAUGGAUGCUUCAUUUGGAUUCUUAUUACCAUGUAUAUAUUGAACAUACAAUUAUAUUCUCAAUGACAGUACUUCUCUCAUAGGAUUAAUUUUCAUGCAGCUUGCUUUCUUCACGACUAGAGAAGUGAAUGCUUCGGAAGAGUUAACCUGGGUGAGCAAUGUCACUCGAGUUUAUGAAUUUUUUCCAUGUUUUUGCUUAGUUAUGUAAGCAUCGUUGCUCUGAUGCUUUCCAAUGAGGAGGCAUGGUUGACAUUACACUGUUUUACGGUAAGUUAUAUUGUGUUGCAACAUUGUAGUCGUUGUUUGUGAGAAAUAAUAUCAGUUCCUUUACUGCUGCUGAAAUUACAAAGAUGGUAUGUCUAAAUGUUUGUUUUCUUUAGUGAUCGAGAGCUUUAUUUAUUGUAGCUAUGACAUUUGCAAUUGGAAAUUCUAUAUACUACUUGUUUUUGUUAUACUUAGUUAGCAGUUCACAUCAUGCCGUGUUCCAUGCUCUUCAAUUUUAAAUUUUUUAUCAUGUGCAAUCUUUCUAUGGUUUUAAAAAUUGGUGUCUGACAUGUCUGCAGGAUUAUGGCAUUGAUUUUGAUGAUACUGAUCAACCUGUGGAGUUAUUCCAUUGCCGAUGUGGCAGCAAGUUCUGCAGGAACAUGAAACGUUCAAGUAGUAAGCUUAUUCUAAAUCUUUUUGAGGCAUGAGUUGAGCAAUGUGAACUAUUUUGACCUCUUUACUUUUUAGUGAUAUUGAGAUGCAAUCUCCGAGCAUGUGCCCUUUUGACGUCUCCAAGCUUUCCUUGGAAGCUGUAUUGUUCGUUAUGUUUAUGAUAAAAAACCUAUGGUUUUCAGGUCUCAAGGAUAGCCUAUUAUGGUUUUCAGGUCUCAAGGAUAGCCUAUUAUGGUUUUCAGGUCUCAAGGAUAGCCUAGUAAUAGGCGCUGGUGUUUGGUCAUAUGUCUUUGAGUUGGCAAUUAAUUUUAGUUUAGAUAGUGAUGCAGGUUUUUUCAAACCAUUCACUGAUCACAUAUGGUGUUCGCAUUUGAGAUUUCUUAGGGAUAUAUUUAGCUGAUAUUUUCCAGGAUGGAAUAGCACUUCUAUUAGAAUUUUAUUUUUUCCUUCAAUUUUACUUUUGUAUCUCUUCUUCCUUCUUAAUCAAAAUUCGUUUUGUUCUCCAACCAGAAUAUUUUUAAAGUGGCUUCUGCUCCUCUUGCUUUCCCAUAUAUGCUGUUGUCAGUUAAUGAACACGUGGAUUGAAGUUAUCAAAAGAAAUUAUUAUUGUUAAGAACUCUGAUGUCCCAUACAUCCUCAACAUUAUAUUUCAGAGAGGUGUGUGUCGGUGAUGUCCACAUAUCUUGGCAGCCCGAUAAUAUACAUCCUAGAUUUUCUAGUUUCAAAUAAUUUCUUUUGCAUGGCUUAUUUGCCCUAUUUCCUGUAAUAUUCUCCUAUCAAGACUCAGGUUUGGGGAGCACAGAGUGCUGAUAUUUGGAUGACUUUUUUCUUGUGAUCCUGUUGCUUCCCGCCUUCUGUUCUUUUGGUAUUCCUUUUCCUUCUAAUGAUAUCACCUUUUGCACUGGGGCAGGAUCUAAUUCAGCAGCAAGAUGAUUGGGAGCGCGGAUGACGAGACUGCUGAUAUUUUGUUAGAAUCCCAUCCAUGACAAGGGAAGAAAGCUUUCAAGUGGACUUGCUUAAUUUUUCUUGGUCCUACUGUAAUCUUGUCAAAGUCAUGUAAUUAUUUUGUUAAGUGAAGUGGUUUAUCAGCAGCGGCCUUAUAAAUCUGGUUUUGGUUGCACAGAUUGCAUGAUCUACCGUCUCUACCGUGGAUUAUGCAUCUAAAUCCUGGACAUUUUGCUGCAUUUUGGAGGAAGGGGGCCCUAUGUCAGGUGUUUCCUGUGGAUCUUUUUUUAGUUUUGCUGAAGUGUUUCUGUGGUGCAGGGGCAACAAAAACUGGGUCAUGUAUGUUGGUUGGUGUCUAUUCCUAUUAUUGUACAGGUUUAUGGCUGUCUUUGUAAUCUGCUUUAUCUGCUUUUGACUGCUUCCCGUCGAUGUUGGGCAGCACGGUUUGGCCACCGGCUGCUAUUUGGGUGGGCAGAAGAUGCCAUUCAGCGCAGCAUGGCUUGUUUUUGCACAAGCUGCUGCUAUUUGGCCUUGGCAUCUACUCUGCUAUUUGGAGUGAAUUAUAUUUUAGUUCCUUAGUUUAUCAAAACAUUUUAAUUAAUCCUAAUAAUUUUAGAAGCUACUAGAUUAGGCACGCUCGCUCAGCGCAGCGGGUCGGAUUAGACUUUUUUCAACCUGAAAUAAAAAGUUCAGUGGAAUUAGAAAAAAAAUUAAUUUUUAAAAAAAACAUAAAAAAAAUCUAGCCAACCUGGUUAAAUAUUUUGAACUUGUGACCUGAAAAGUUAAUAAAAUUCUAAUUAAUAAAAUAUAAAGAGAUGAAAUUGAAAAGACAAGUUUGAAUAAAAAUGAUUAAAAACAAAAAAAUGUAAAUAAAAAAAGUAAAGACCAUGAACUAAAAUAUUAGAGGGAUACAAUUGAAAAACAAAUAAAUUAAAAGGGUAAUGUUAAAUAUAGAGGGAUGUAAUUGAAAAAGAAAAUUUAAUUUUAUUAACAGAAUAUUUUAAAAAAUAACAAUAAAAAGUUGAGAAUUAAAAAAGUGAAAAAAAAUCGAAGGAGAGUUAAAUUAAAAGAAAACUAAAUCUAAAAGAAAAAUCAUUCAAAGGGUUGCUUCGAAAAUAGCUCCUGGAACUGAAUUAAAAAACUAUAAAUAUUAUACAAGUUUAAUUAAAUUUAACAAUAUUAAAAUUUAUUAAUUAUUUAUCAGGUAAUAAUUUUGAAUACCCAUUCCUAGCCUAAAAUAUUAACCAUUAAAUUAAAUUAAAUCAAAUAAAAUACUAUUCCAGUAAAUUACAUAUAUACCGGUUGUUUUAUUGUGUUUUUGCUGUUGCUAGAGGAUUUAGUUUAUUUAUUUAUAAUUUUUAUGUAAUUAUCAUCCUUUAAGCAAUUAUUUAUUAGUUUUGAUACUAUCAGGAUUAGUUUCUUUAUUUUUAUAAACUACAAUUACUAAAUUGUAACUAACUCCUUUUAUUGGUUGGAUCAAAACGGCGUCGGUUGCAAAUAUUGCAAAACCCUAGGAGGCCUAGAAACUCAGUGAUAUAUAAUAGAUAGAGCGUUGCAAUUUAUUGCUGAAGGGGGAAAGGCGGGUGCGCAGACGGAAGCGAAGAAGGCGAUAAAAAAUGUCGAAGCGAGGUAAAGCCACUGACCCUACCUUCUCCGAGUAAUGUAACGACACGUCAAUCACACCAAACGCUCUAACCUAUUUCUCUUCUGUUUUCAGGAAGGGGAGGAUCGGCCGGAAACAAGUUCCGCAUGUCGCUGGGUCUUCCGGUGGCGGCGACGGUGAACUGCGCUGACAACACUGGAGCGAAGAAUCUCUAUAUCAUAUCAGUGAAAGGAAUCAAAGGUCGCCUCAACCGUUUGCCGUCGGCUUGCGUCGGAGACAUGGUGAUGGCUACAGUGAAGAAAGGAAAACCUGAUCUCAGGAAGAAGGUGAUGCCUGCUGUCAUUGUUAGGCAGAGAAAGCCUUGGCGCAGAAAGGACGGUGUUUUCAUGUAUUUUGAAGGUUUGUUUAGUAAUUUUCCUUUCAAUUUUGAUUUUCAGAUUUUAAAACCAUAUAUAUAUAAAUUUAUUUGUUGCGUUUGCAGAUAAUGCUGGUGUUAUUGUCAAUCCCAAGGGAGAAAUGAAAGGUGAAAUUAUUUCUUAAACUUCAUCUGUGUUAAGUUUGGUGCGUUUUAGCUUGUAAUUGGGUUACAAAUCUCCAUUUAUUGUAGCUGAUGAGUGAUCUUGCUGUGGUGAAACUUGUUGUGGUUUGCUUGAGAUAUAAUUAAGUAGCUUGUGGUUUUGAGAUCUUCUAUGAAUGUAAUGGGUUGCGUUUUCCCUGAAUUUUGAUUUUCGGGAAAGGCUAAGGUUCUCUCAUAUUUAGCCCUUGAUGAGUUUGAAAAUCCCACUACUCGGUGAUGUUGACUUCCCAUUUGUUAUGAUUCCCAUCUGAUGGCUUGGAAGCACGUGCUCAUGUAAGCUCGAGUUUAUAGCAGUCUAACCCAUAUUUUUUAGGCCCCAAUUAUGAAAGCAUUUGGAUGAUUAUGGUCCCUUCACCCAUUUAUUGAACACAACUCUCUGGGGACAAGGACUUUUUUUGCAGUUUUUUGAUCAUUAAUGGUUACCUUAGAUUUGAAUUGUUUUUUGCUCUCUGUUAACAAGGGAGGGUGGUAUAUGAUUGUUGAUUAGCAUAAGGCAUUUUAGAUGUGGUUUUGGAGUUUUUGUAGGUUUGUUUGUUUAGUUUCCAAGAAUUAAUAUGUUGUCAAAUGUCGUAUAAUGAUGGUUUUAUGUUCGAAGAGCGAAUUAUUACCAAUCUCAAUAUUUUUUUGGAACGUGUUGUUUGCUUGGGCCUGGCUGUUGUUUAUGAUACCCUCAUGAGAAUCAUAAGCGGGGAUCGGGGUUCAUCUAGUUUUUGCCGUAAUAUUUCUGCAAUGGUUCAUGUUGCUGAUUGUUGUUGUUUUGCUGCUUGUAGGAUCCGCCAUCACUGGACCCAUCGGCAAGGAAUGUGCUGAUUUGUGGCCAAGAAUUGCCAGUGCUGCCAAUGCCAUCGUCUGAAUGGAGAUUGGUUUUUGAUAGUUCGUGGCUUCAGAACUUGAUGCUGUCUUCAGAAUGUUAUUACCUUUAUGUUCAGACAGAAUUAAAUGGAAUGGAGGACCUUCAUGAGCCCUGUCUAUGUUUUUGAUAAAUUGCAGAUGUUUAAGUUUUGAGCCCUGUCUAUUUCUCCUCUCAAUUCUCUUUUGUCCCAUCAAGAUCGUUAGAGAGAUGAACAAAUGGAUGACAAGGAGGGAGUGAGAAUCGUUCUUGUUUUAGGAUUGCAUUACAUUCAUGUCAUGGGUGAUGCUGUCAUCACUGUUGCAGUACGUCUGAUAUUGGACUCCCAAAUUUUUUCUCUCUCAAAUUGCAUUUAACAUUUAACUUGUUUGAAUGUUUUUUUAUUUAGAAAUAUAUUAAAAUAAUAUAUUUUUUAUUUUUUAAAAAUUAUUUUUAUAUCAAUGUAUUAAAAUGAUUUAAAAAUACUAAAAAAAUAUUAAUUUAAAAUAAAAAAAUUUAAUAUUUUUUAAAAUGUUUUUAAAACAUAAAAGCAAAUAAGGCAUGUAUAUAAUUUACGAUUUUCGAAGCACCUUUUCUGCAUGAAAUGCACGCCCGUGAGAGUGUGCCACUGGAUGAGUUCAUUGUGUUAAUAUUAAAAUAAAAUAAAAUAUAACAAGUAAAAAUCACAAAAACAUACUCUAAAAAGUAAAGAGGAUGAUCGUAUUUUAUUUUUUUAAAAUUGAGAAUAUAUUAAAAUAAUUUAUAUUUUUAUUUUUAAAAUGAGCUUAUAAAAAACAUAAAAAAAAUCAAUGUUAGACUUCUAACGGUGCCAUGUAAUGUCAACGAACUUGUUUAUUAUUAUAUUUUAAAAGCGUAUUUAAAGAAAAAUUAAAAUUGUUUUUAUUUUUUUAAAUUUUAAAACAUAUUUUUUUUUAUGUAAGCUUUCAAUGAAGGUUUGUAGUACUUCAUUGAAGUGUAGGAGCAUUUUUUAAAACAUUUUGAAAACAUCUGUUUGCAGUGAGGAAAGGACACCACUUGCGGGCCUUUCUACCUUUCACAUUUUUGGAUCUCGUGCUGUGCAUGGUGCCCAGUGGUGCUUCACAGGUAUGUAAUAGAAGGUAGCGAUUCCUGUUUAUAUUAUAACCAAAAUAUUUUUUUAAAAAUUAAUGUGUAUUAAAUGAUAUUUUUUAAAAUAUUAAAAUUAUGAUGUAUUAGAUGGAAAACUGAUACGUAUUUGGCUAAAUAAAUAAAAUUUCUUAUACACGGCGUGUAAAACUAUGAAUGGACAAUGGCCUUAAAGCUAGCUCUCAAAAAUGGACGAAGGUGAUUGUAUUGUGUCCCCCUCUCACUCUUUAGGUAUGGACGGUGUGGACUUUUAUGCUAGAGAAAACCUUAUCUCACUUUUUGGUCACAGAUUCUUCCCGGGAAGGUUCACCAACUAGGAGUAUAACCCAAGGAAACCCAGUAAUUAAGAAUAUUAAGUAGCUUGUUCUUUUGCAAGACAUCUAAUGUGAAAAGUGUCUCAUCAUCCCUGUUAACAUCACAUCACUACCUGCAAGUCUCAAUCGCUGCUCCAAGUUGGGAAUAAUCUGACCGAAGACUGCCGGUAAGGCAGUAUUGUAUGGUCUCCCGCUAAUGAGAGGGUGACACUGUGUGUAUCACUGAUAGUGAUGCCUGUUAGUGGGAAUCGAUGCUUUAAAGCUCAACUCCUGCUUUGCUCUCACUCGUCCUGCUUCAAGUGUUUCACUCCCUCUUGGUUGCUUGCUAGGUCGUCGUCUUCUUGUGUCCAGGUGCAGCUGGUACAGUACUGAUGGUGGAGGGAAGAAUGAAGAGAAUCCGGUUCUUGAGGUGGGGGAGCAGAAUCUCAAGCACUGGGUCUGCAGUCAAGCUUGUUAGUCUGAAAAGACAAGUGCCGUUUGGUCGACGUUGUGAAUCAUCUUUCUUAAUGCAGCUAGCUUCGAGGUUCAGGGCUCAAUGGAAGCAAGCUUUCGGGUGGAAAAGGAGCAGUGCACAGUGCAGCUAUGAUCCUUACAGCUACUCUUUGAACUUUGAUGAUGGUCUCUCGAUCCCAUGAGUACUCUUGACCAACUCUAAUAUCGGAAUGUUUCUGAAUAAAAUCCUCUCUCCCAGCAAUGUCUCACCGGACUCUUCGCUGCCGCUUCAGAAGCCGUCUUGUGCAUACAGAAAUAAGAUACUGGGGGUAUUAAUUUCUUCAUCAUUCCAAUAUCCUCCAGUUGCUGUACGUUAGUUAUUGCUUCUUCACUCAUGUUUCUUGCUUGUUGAAACCUGUCGUAAACAUUUUUGAGCUGAGCUCUCUGUCUUUUCAUCCCUCCCGGCAGCUUCAAACUAUCAUUUUCAUUUUCUGUAAAACUGUGUUUCCAAAUGCUAGUGCAAAUCAUGCUGCAUGCUCGCGUAAUUCUCUACGUACGUACGUACCUGGUAGUUCUAGACCCUAGCUAGCUAGGAGAAAAACCUUACGUGCCGGCAAUUUCUUACAAUCAAGCUUAAUUUCCCUGGAUUUGAAUGAUAUAAAUAUUGUAUCUUGAAUUUGUUUCCCGUUAGUCUAGUCUAUAAGAGAUCAACCGUGUUUCGAACUGCCACUGGGCAAGAACUUUUUUAUUUUUCAAGUGCUUUUUUAGAUAUCCAUGUGUUUAUGGUUAUGAUUAUUUGAAAAAAAAGAAGAAGAAAUGCUUUUAUUUUCUUUAUUUUUAGAUGUUUUUUAAUUGUUUUGAUGAGUAAGUUUUAAAAAUAAAAAUAUUAUAAAAAAUAAUUUUAAUAUAUUUUAAAAUAAAAAACAUUUUAAAAAACUAUUAGAUAUAAUACCAACAACUUCUCUCAAUUCGACCAAGAUAUCACGAGCAGCACUCCGAUCAUAAAACAAUCGAUAAAUUCAAGAUAUAUUUUUACAAGUAAAAUAAAACGCACUAACAAGUCUAUACUUUUUAUAUAAAAAAACAUCAAAUUAAUACUUUUUACCCACCCCAUAUCAUGAACAAACAAAUACUAGGACAUGGUAAAAAGUAUCUUAAAAAUUACAUGACUGGUGAAUUUCUUUUUCAAUCUCGCCUAGCUAGCACUGUGUGAUAUUCUUGUGAAAAAGGGCAGUGCUCAGUUAAUGGUAGGGCCAUGAUUAUGGCACCCCACUACUUAUUUCUUCUUCUUUCUGCCCAACCAAAAAAAAAAAAACAUAGAUCAUGCAACCCACCUCUACUUUAAUUCUCUUUUGAAAAUUAGGUGAUAGCUCAGCAACCAAACAGCAAUAAUCCUACCUUCUUUGACAGAGAAAGAGAGGAGGAGGUAGGUCCUCUGAUUUCCUCUUCAUCCCUCCCACUCGUUUUUGCUAUGAUUUCUGUGAGCUAGCUAGACUAUACUUUAUUCAUCGUAAAACAAUGAAUACGAAGAACAAUAAAUUAUAAGAAAAAAAAAAACAUAAAAAAUCAAUUCUUAAUUAAGAGCUGACUUGAUGGUUAAGGAGGUAAUUAAGUUCAAUUUCUUGAUUUCUCAAAUUUAGAUUUUGAGAUCAAUCAAUACUUGGAAGAAUUUAUUAAAUUUUUAUGAAUACAACAUAUAGAUAGACGGGAGAAAUAUUCCUUUAAAAUCAUCGAGAGAGAGGUCAUUUAUAGGAUAUUUGAGAGUGUCUUGGUGAUAGUUUUAAUUAAAAUGUUUUUGUUCGACGCAUUAAAAUAAUAUUUUUUAUUUUUUAAAAUAUUAUUUUUUAUUUUAGUAUAUUAAAAAAUAUUAAUUUUAAACAAAAAAAUAUUUAAAUUUUCAUAAAACAUUAUUCGAAAUGAAAUUAAAAAAAAAACUAUUUAAAAUGGAAUUAUUACUUCCUACAAGCUGGCUUGUAACUAAUCAUUCAAUUUCAGAUCCCUCUGCAUGAUAUGUAUAUACAUUUUUUUUUCUUGGCUCCCCUGGAAUAAUUUCAAAUCUUAGAGUAAAAUCCAGUAAAAUUUAAAUUUUGAAAUUUGUUAUUUUUUUCUAAUCUUAGGCGCUCAAGAAAACCCUCCUAGCUUUGUUUUUGUAUUUUAAAAAUAUAUUUUUUUUAAAAUUAAAUUUUAUUUAUUUAUUUUUAUUUCAAAAUAAUUUUUUAAAAUAUUUUCAGUAGAGUGAAAAAUAAAUUUUAAAAAAUUAAAAAUAUUAUUUCUUUAUAUAUUUUUUUUAAAUCGAUAAUUACUGUUGCUUUGUUGCCAUUGCUGUCGAGUCUUUUACUAACUUCAGAUUCUCUCCCACAGCACGCAGUUUAAUGCAGCCCAAAGCUGUAAUACCCUCGAAACCGAGUGAAAUAAUCUUAGGCACUGAAGAAAACAAACAAAAAGAAAAAAGCAAUUUCCAAAAUGAGUCCAAAAUGAGAGUGAUAAGACAGGAACAAUGAUGAUAGCAAUCCAUGGAGAAAGAGUAAACACAGCAAUGCUGUGAGGAAAGGGGAGAGAGAGAGAGAGAGAGAGUAAAGAAGAAGACAUUAUUCGAUGUUGAAACCAGGGAAAAGAGAAAUCCAUGUCUGGUGGCGUUAAUGGUGGUUAUAAUUAUGUGUCAUCGGCCAAAAUGAUUGAUGUUUUUGUUUUUAUGAAAUAAAUAUAAUGAUUUAGUUUUUUCUCUCCAUAAUAACAGUUAUCUUCGGAUCAACUCAUAUAUGAUUUUUUUUUUCUUAUUUUUUCCAAAUGAUCUUAAUACACACACACACACACAGGGUUUAGACAAGGUCACAUGAGAGUUGAGAUUAUGAGCUGUGAAACAUUAACAUAAAUAUUCCAUGUGAUUUUCAAAGCUAGAACAGGCCACCCAUACCCCACAGACAUGUGACGCGUUCCCCCCACCAGCUCUACAAAUUCAAUCACCCCUCCCCCCUCUCUCUGGGCAAGAAAUGGCAAGAAAUUUGGUGUUCAUACUAGCUCUGACAAGCCUCUACAUUGGCUUAGCAGCCGCAGACUGGAAUAUCUUGAACAAAAAAUCGAAAAAUAGGGAUGCCUCUAGCUUGAAGAAUUAUUGUGAGAGUUGGAGGAUCAAUGUUGAGCUAAACAACAUCAAGGAUUUUGAGGUGGUGCCACAAGAAUGUGUAGAUCACGUCAAACAUUACAUGACCUCGUCUCAGUACACAGCAGACUCCGAGAGGGCGAUCGAGGAAGUCAGGCUCUACCUCAGCAGUUGCUGUACUUUGGAAGGUGAUGGCAAAGAUGCUUGGAUUUUUGAUGUUGAUGACACUCUCUUGUCCACCAUACCUUACUACAAGAAACAUGGUUUUGGGUAAGCUUGUUUAUUUACUAGAUCAUGUAUUCUUUUGUUAUCACAUUUCCACUUGUUAUAGACAUCCUGAUGUUGUUGGAAAUUUAGAAAAAUCAGUGUUUUAUUCUCUAAGGGUAUGUGUGGUAGUGUUUGCUUUUCAAAUAACUUUUCGUGCCGAAAUGUAUGCCAAUGAUGUUUUUUCAUUUUUUAAAAAUUAUUUUUGACAUCAGCACAUCAAAACGAUUCAAAAUAUACAAACCGUAUUAAAUUUUAGCAAAAAUUUUUUUUUUUGAAUUUUAUGGGAACACGGUUUCAACUGCGUUUCUAAACACUUCUUAAGAUGGCUCGACCAAUUGAAACUCAAAUCUUCUCGAGCUUUGUUUUGGUGCGUUAUGGUGCAGUUGAGGAUGUUUUUAGAUUGACCACAACUUCAAAAGUUGUUUGGUUUUCAUUACUUGCUUAAACCUGUUUAUCAUUUUAAAUUGUGGUAAAAACUUGGGUUUGAGAGCUUGAUUUUUCAAACCGCAUCCACAAAAAAUAUCUUAAUCAAAUGAUAUUAUCAAAUAUACAACUGCUAGACUAUGCCUGCUUUUCACUGUUUUGAUCAAUCAGUCACUAAUGCAAUUUGGGUUGUGAAAUGGAAAUAAAACCAGGGGAGAGAAGCUCAAUGCAACCUUAUUCGAAUCAUGGAUGAAGCAAGGCAAAGCGCCUGCUCUAGACCAUACACUCAAGUUCUUCCAUGAGAUCAAAGGCAAAGGGGUCAAAAUCUUUCUUAUUUCCUCCAGAAGUGAAACCCUUAGAUCAGCCACUGUCGAGAAUCUUAUCAAUGCUGGAUACCAUGGAUGGUCCAGCCUCAUAUUGAGGUACAUGACUUGACCUAUUUGAUAUAUGUGUCAAUGGCCUAGCCUGUUCGGAAACGUGGGCGGUUGCAUCCGCGUUCCCAAACCAAAACCAUCACAGCCGCGCCCAUAUUCCGAAACGGGCACCAGAGUAAACAAGCAAUUUACCAUUUCUUUUCCUUGGUUUUACUGUAUAAAUACAGGGGUCUUGAAGACGACUUCAUGAAAGUGCAGCAAUACAAAUCCGAGGCAAGGAGAGCAUUGACAAAAGAAGGAUACCGCAUAUGGGGAAUCAUAGGAGAUCAGUGGAGCAGUGUGGAGGGACUCCCUGGUGCCAAAAGAACAUUCAAGUUGCCAAAUUCCAUGUACUACCUUUCCUAAAGCUUCCACUACCGACAUUAUUAUUCCAUAUGUUCAACCAGGCAUUGUCAUUGUUUAUCUGAUGAAAAAAACCAUGUUAAUCUAUGAUUUCUUUUUCUAAAAAAAAUCUCAGCUUCGAUCAGAUAUCUCAAAUAUCUCAGUAAAGGAAAUAUGCUUCAGAAUAAGGAAGCAGGUUUUGAUGCUUCGAACACUACAAUGGGCAGGUCUAGUUGUUGUCAUGUCUUACCUCCACUGAUAGAUAAAGCCAUCAAGAGUUAUUUUGAUUGCGAUGCAUGAGACUCUGUUUCGAGAAAAUCUUGAAGAACUUGGUUGGCAUUUCGUCCGAAUAGAGUGAAAGAAAAUGCUGUUUAAAAAAUAACCUGUGUUUAUAGCGUCGAGUGAUCGUAGCUGAUAUUUUCAGUUAUUUCUCCAGAAAGAUCAAUGAAUUUCUUGACUUUUAAACGAAAGAAUAUGAAUAAACUAAUUUUAGAAUCCAACUUAACGUCUAGGCUUUUACCCAAUGUAGUUCAGAAUUUUGAUUUUAUUUGCGUUUUAAAAAUAUUUUUGAAAAUCUUUAUUUAUUUAUUUUAUUUAAAAUUAAUAUUUUUAUAUUAUUUUGAUAUGUUGAUGUUAAAAAUUAAUUUUAAAAAAUAAAAAAAUAUUAUUUUAAUAUAUUUUUAAAUAAAAAAUACUUUAAAAAACAACAGCUGUUACAAUAAUCAAUAAAAUCUUAGUCAAACUUAAAAUAAAUUAAAUACUUAAAUUUUUAUAAAAACACUUUGCAACCGCAACAAUAAAAACAAACAAUAUCUUAAACAAGAUAUGAUCAACACUUAAAUCUAUAUGUUCCGACAAAGUUUGAAAUACCUUUUCAAACACUAAUUUUUUUCAUUUUAAUCUUUAAACUUUUAAAUUCUUUUUAUUUUGAUCCCUAAUUAUUUUAAUAUUAUAAUCUAAUCUUGAACUAAUUUUUUCAUAUACCUUUCAACAAUGAAUAGUUUCUCCUCAAUUAAAGCAAGUGCUUUUCAUGAAAGUAACUAAACAAAUGAAUUGUCUCCAUUACGUGUAGCUUGGUGGUAAAAGUAAAUAAUCCAGCAACACAAAACCUGAUAAUAAUAUUAAUGGCUUUUCAUGAAAGUAACUAAACAAAUGAAUUGUCUCUAAUAAUGACUAUUCAAUAAUACAAAAUUAAUUAUUAUUAAUUAUUUUACAUAAUUUCUUCAUAUUAAUUAUUCAUUUUUUUCUUCAAUUACAUACAAAAUUUAGAGACAUGAUUUUUAAUGUUUUUUUAAUUAAAACUUGCCUUUUAUACUAUGAUAUUUCUUUUAUUUAAAAAACAAUGAUUCUGAUAAAAUAAACAUAUUUUAAUGAAAACAAUAGAAAAAUGCAUUAAUAAGAAAUAAUAGUUUAGAUUAAUUUUUUAUUAAAGUUUUCAUGAAAAUUUAUUUGAAUUGCCUUUAUUUUUAAUUCAAAAAACAUGUUAUUAAUAGAAAAUACAUAGAAUAAAAAAUGAGUAGUUUGUUUAAUAAAAUAUUUUUUUCCAAGGAAAUUUAAAUUAUAGAUUUUAAUAUAAAUAUCUGUUUUAAUUAUAAAACAUAAAUUUCCAAAAUUAUUUAGUAGAGUCUUGGAAGUGUGGUAAUUUUUUUUUUUUUAAAUUAUUUGUUAUUUAAAAUUAAAUUAAAAUAAUAUUUUAUUUAUUUUUAAUUUUAGCGCAUAAAACAUUUUAAAAAUAAAAAAAAUUAAUUUAAAAUAAAAAUUUUCAAAAUCGCAAUUGUACAAAACAGGGCCGUAAUAUGCUAAUCACAAUCCCCACGUGCACCCCAUCAGAUAUUACACUACUCACCAAUAGCAAACCUGGUCCCACACACCCACACGAUACGCACUGUUACCCCACCAUCUCUCUGGAGUUUAUUCCACACGCGCUAUAUUUAAGGCUUGGAGGAAUUCACUGUUCCUUAUUAACAGAGCCAAAAAAGAGAGAGGGGCUAAAGAGAGCAAAGCGCACUCUCUGUCACCGUUCACUUCUUCGGGGUGACACGCCGGUGACCGAAUUUUCCAUAACACCUUUAGAGAAUUGUUUCUGUGCCUAAAGAAUUGAUUUCUAGCCAUUUAGGGCCUUCAAUACUGCGAGGUUAUGUGAAGUCGUAGGUGAGAAAUUUAUAUGUUCCCCCGUUUUGGUAAUUUUGUUUUGUUUUGAUGGAAUCUGAAGCUAAUUUUUUUGUUUUGAUUGUAAUAAUUACUUGAUUGAUUGAAUUUUUGGUGCUUUUCUUGAAUUGCGUCGUCGGUGAUCGGACUUGGUUUAGUUGGUCUUGAAUGAUAAUUGGUUUGCACCGUAGGGUGCAUGUCCUUUUUUUUUUUUUUCGCUUGGAUUUUUUUUUUUUGGUUUUUUGAGCUUAAUAUUUCUGAAUUCAUGAGUUCUCUGUGAAAUGGGGAGAAGAAAUUAGUUUAGUAGGGGGUCCCAGAUACAAUUGAAUUGAAGCUAAGGACAUGGACUUUGAAAGGUUGGAACUUGGAUGUUGAAUAAAUAAUUUAUCAAUGGAAUGAAGUUAGCUAGAGUUAACUGACCAAGGACAAGCAUAUGGUUUUUAGACGUCCCGGUGACGAGGGUGUCAGGAUCCAUGCGCAAUGCAUCGCUCAUGAUAGUUAAUGAUUGAGAGUAAUGAUAUGUAGCAUCUAGCUUGUUUAGGGUUUUGUGUUAGUGGUCAGGAAGAUUUUUUGAUGCAGUUGGUAUGCCUUGAGAUGCUGAGGAGAAUUUAUUUGAACACUGAAAAUAUGAAUUUCGUGGAACCAAUUGGUAUUGAAGAAAAAACACAUUCUGCAAACGGGUUCGCAAUAUUAUAAUUAUGGUUUGCUAAACAACUCUUCAUCUUAGUUAAUGUUCCUAUCUCCAUACCAAUUGGAAGGAGUACCCACUGGUCGGGGAUGGGGAUGGCGCACUGAUAGGCAGAGCCUUAGACUUAAAGAAUCCUUGUACUUGCUAUGAAUAUUUGUAAUGGCCAACAAGGGGAGAAUUUGCUUCUGAUGGUUUGUUAUAAUCAUACUCGCUCUACCCUUCAACAGUUUUGCAUGAACUAAAUGCUCUCACGCCUUGAACAAUUGAGCCUGUCAAUAAUUUCAACAUGACAACCUAUUGACUCUUUGUUGCAAUUACAAGAAUUUAGUAUUAUGCUAGACAAUGGCUGUCCUGCGUCUAUUAUCCAAUACGAAGUUUUUAUGAGAAUUGGGAAUGAGAAUUUGAAUCAUUAUUAUUAGUCCUCUUAUUGCAAGGCUUGCCUUUUCUUUUUGUUUGUUUCAAUUUUUGGAUAACUGUCUAGGGACUGUGGAAUUUGCUGAAAACCAACCUCACAUGUUCUUGCUGCCUGCUAUUAACAUUUAAGUCAUUAUGUUUCACUGUAGCUUUCAUGCUUUUGACUAUUUUCCUAGUAUGAGCAUUUCAACUCUGCUCUGGUAGAAACAUUUCAUGCCUGUAACUGAAUGUAGUGUUGAGUUUGGAGAUGGACUGAUGCCUUGAGGAGCUGGUCAUUACAAGUGGGAUAAAGGAUUUAGAAAUAGGGAGUUUUGGAAAUGAUAUGGGUGGCUAGAACUUUCUUCUGAGAAAAACCAAAAAAUUGCGGUGUUUAUAGGUGAACUUAUGAGGUUUAGAAAGGAUGGUGAUCAUUGCUAUGAGUAUCUCUAUAUUCCCUAUUGGUGACAUCGUGUAUUUAUGUAUUCAUUCCUGUUGACAGAUGUUUUAAUUGAUGACCUUUCCAGUGUCCCACUAUUGUGAACCAAUAAGAAGGGUGCUUUCAGAAGGUAUUCACUUGGUUGUCAAAAUGGGAAACUGCUGUGAAUUGAUUGAAUAACCGACACCCUAUUUUUGUGCUGAUUGAAGCAUAGCAAUGGAGGGACGCCCAGCUUUUAGCAUUCAGAGAGCAGGUGCAAAGCAGCUUGGUAACCUUGGGGUGUCUGGAACACUGUCUUCAUCUUUACCAGUGGUUCCAACACCUCUAGAAGAGACAUACUCCAAGUUACCAGGCUGUCAACAGGUUUCCAUGGAAAGGGAGCUUAUGACCAGGCCUCUUGUGCAUGCAAGUCAUUUGCCCUCUAACAAUGGAGUAGUUGGACACUUAUUUUCUUCUUCUGCGAGCUUCUCAACAGACCUUCAGUACUCUUCUGUCACACCCCGGGAGAAACAUUCAAGAAAUACUCCAUUUAUUUCCCAGUCAUCAGCAAAUGCAGGAGCUUUGCUGAUGUCACAAUCUUCUCCAUCAGCAUUACUUCAAUCAACAACAACUAGUCAUUAUGUAAAUGAAAACAGUGCUUCAUGGUGUCCAGAAUCACCGCCGGGUUUUCUUGACUUUCCCACUAACACUACUGUUCAAAAUAAUCAGAUAGAAAGCAAUAGUUGUGCUGGUGUCAUGGCAUCAGAAGAAUUUGGUAAACGAAAUGAUUGGCAGGAAUGGGCAGACCAGCUAAUUACUGAUGAUGAUGCUUUGACAACUAAUUGGAAUGAGCUUCUGGCUGACACCAGCAUUGUGGACAUGGAACCAAAGGUUGGUAUCUUCUCACAACACACAACAAAUAAGAUACCCUUGCAAAAGUAUGGUGAAAUAUUCCUUUAUGCUUUCUCCUGUUCUCAUCUCGUUGCUUCAGAUGGCAUACCAGGUCUCCAAACCAUCUUCAAACACUCCAGUUCAACACUCCCAAGGUCACCUGCAGCUUCCAUCCCUAUCUGCAGAAAUUCGCCCAGUUCUCACCCCCACUUCCUCAGCAAACAGUGCACCAACGAAGCCACGCAUGCGUUGGACACCAGAACUUCAUGAAGCUUUUGUGGAGGCUGUCAACAACCUUGGUGGUAGUGAAAGUGUGGAACUAUCUUUGCCUUAACUGAUUGCUAGCCAAAAAUUCCCAGGCUUCUUCUUCAAUUGAUUUCCUUUUUCUUACGUGCAGGAGCUACUCCAAAAGGCGUGCUGAAGCUGAUGAAAGUUGACAGCUUGACUAUUUAUCAUGUAAAAAGCCACUUGCAGGUAUGCACCUUUGUUUCUUUAAAAGCGAGGCUGGUUUUAUGCGUCAGCAUCAUUUCUUGUGUGGCAUGGUUUCGGAUUCUUAUUUUUGUUUUUAAUUGGAGAAUAUUCUUUGUUGAAUUUCAGAAAUACCGAACAGCCAGAUACAGACCAGAGUCAUCAGAGGGUAUGUAAUAACUAAUCAGUGACUCCAAGACUUUAACAUAUCCCUGAAUUUUGUGUUGCUCUUCCACCUUAGAAUUUUAACCUGAAUGAGAGGAUGAGAUUGCAUUUUAACUUGUUGAAUUGCUUAUCUUCACUCAUGAACUUGAGUCUUAAGCUGCACUGUGCAAACUUGUGACAAUGUAUUAAUUUAUGACACAUACCCCUGUUCAAUAUCUCCUUUUCAUUUGAAUCAACCUCAAUCUAGUCUUUCCACAAAAGCAUGAUUAUGAUCUGCAUGCUAUGUUGUUUAUUCAAUCCUUUCUGUGAUUUAAGUCAAUUGCCCUAUCUAUGAAAAAGACAUUUUUCUGCUAUUUUUUGCGGCUCAAGUAUACUUUUUUUCAAGGCUUCAGUUGAGUUGUCUUAAUGUAAGCUCUCUAAAUUAACUUCACCAAUUUUCUAUCUGCCUAUUUUAAUACCAUUUUCCGAUCACUCCUAACUGUCGUUGUACUAUGACCUAAAUUUCCUGUGACCAUCUUUUUUCUCCCUCAGUUUUUUUGUAGCUGCUCGAGAUUUCUUUGCUUUAUUUUACUGCAUGGAUCAAAACAUGUAUGAGGAAUUUCCUAUUUAUAUAUUUUUUAACGAGCUGUUCUAUUUUGCUUGCAGGAUCCUCUGAGAAAAGAUUGACAUCUAUUGAUGAAAUAUCAUCUCUUGACUUGAAAACGUAAGUCUACACCAUUUAUUAAUUUUGAUUCUCUUGUUACUGCAUCAUCAGCUGGUAUUUAUUCUUUGGCUUUGAGCAACUGUGAACUUGACAAAGGACAAGAAAGAGAAGAAAUUCUAUGGUUUCAAAAUUAGGCUAAUUGUAAAAGUCUACACACAUAAUUGAGAAAUAAGAGACUACCAGCUUUCAAGGUGGCAAGGUAUUGUGGCAAUGUGCUAUUCUUGCUUUACUUCUGUACUUUUGGAACGAGCAGAGUUUAGGAUAUUUCAGGAUAUGCAUCUACUAUUCCUGUUGCUUUUGGAUAAAAUAGUUUUUCUAGCUUCGCUUUGGUGUUCUACAACUGAUACAUGUAGAGACAUCACUUUAGCAGACAAGCAAAGAGAUAGGAGGGUGUCUUAUCCUCCAUUUUGUCCUCUUCCUUUAUUAAAAUUUAAUGAGAGAGAGAGAGAGAGAGAGACGAAUAGACGAAUAGCAUCUUACCUGUAAGUUUAUAGAAUUAAAUCUAGAGAGAAGAAAGCAUCAGGUUUGAAUUCAUACAUCAAAAAUCAUCAUUGUUUUCUGAAAUUAAUAAUGCCUUCUCAUUGAAAGAUUACAGGGCUAUACACAGAGUUCUUGUUAUCAUUACUUAAAUGAGGAUCUAGACUUGUAAAUAAGAACAGAACUAUUCAUGUAAUUACAAAAGAAUUUCAACAUCAUUCAAUCAUUUAGAGAACCUAAAAUUUAAAAUAGAAACCUUGACCUGCUGAUUUCCAGAAUUUCCAACAAGUCUGGAAAAAAAUAACUCUUGACUUGUUGACUUGAGUAGAAACAGAUGAAUGUGAUCUUUUUGUUAGGCUUCACUCUGCAAGACGCAUUCUUUGUCCCUCAGUAAUAGAAUUUGGCAGGAAUGCUAAAGUUGUGAAUUUUAUAUUACUAGCCUGCUUCCCAGUUUCUUCUUAAAGAUUUAUGCAUGUGGAAAGUAAGGAGAAUAACUUUCCGCAUGAUAACAAAACUUGCUUAUGGAUUAUGCUACAACUAUAAUUCUCUUGUUUUUCCCUUUGCUGCUUUACCUCCCUUUAAAGUAGGUUGAUUGAGGAGUGUGGUUCCCCUACCAUACAAGGAUUGGAUUUUAAACUAUAUCUGUUGAAUUUUUGUUUACAGUCUCAUUUUCUGUAAUCACUCUACUGAUAAUGACCACGGGUUGUCAUUUAUUGAUGAAAAGACCUAGCAACAAAAUUAACUUGGAAGGUAUUCAGUACGUUAGUUGACUUCCUGGGAGAUUCAGGUAGUUCCAGAAGAAACUUGGUUAGGUUAAAAACUUGUUUAAUGCCCUUUCAAUCUACAUAUGGCGUCUCAGAUUGAAAAUUGGCUGGCACCAUGGUAUGAUUAUAACCUAGAAAUGUCUCUUGAAUGAUUUAUAUUUUGGGAAAAGAGCUGCAUAUUUAAAUUAUUCAAUCUGUGUUCUAUUUCAUUUUGAAUUAUCCUGCUAAACUCUUUCUAUUUUAUGUUGGACAACAGAGGCAUUGAAAUCACUGAAGCUCUACGAUUACAGAUGGAAGUUCAGAAACGACUGCAUGAACAGCUUGAGGUAUACAUUUUCCAUGAAAAUGGAUCUAUGUUUGGAUUUGAUUAGUGGCUUUGACUCUGGAACCUCAAAAAAUUAGGUUCCGUGACCUGAUUUGGCAGCUUUUAACAAGGGUUCUUUUGCUUUAUGAUGAAAAUCGGUUGUCUUGAUUUUCUUCUAUAUUCUGUUUGAAAAACCAAAUCAUCUUCAUGAAGGCACUACUUGUAAAAAAAGGAGCAAGGAUCUGAAAAUGGAGGGAUUCAUUCCAUGUUGAUCGAGUGAGAGAGAUAUUCCACUAGAAGUUUCUGGUCAAGUGCAGGAUCUUUGCUGCAUGUUAACUUUGCUGCAUAGAAGUUGCAUUAUGCAUUUACGUCAUAGAAGUAAUAAAUGUCUGCAACUUUUCAAUUGCCUAGACCAUGAAAAUGUUUACAAUUAUCCAUACAUUCUCCUUGGUAUCAAGACUUCAAUGAUGCAAAGAAGCUCCAUGAAGUUCUCUUUUGUUGUUACCUGCAUUUAAGAUUUAUACAUAUGCAUUGUUUCCUUAAAGAAUUAAUUUGUUUAUAAAGCACUCACUUUUUCUAUAAUGCAGCAAAGUAUAUAAUACUGAGAGCUAAAAAAAUGAUUUUUCCUUGGUUAGAAAUGUUUUACGAUUUGGCUUUACGUUAUCGCUCACUUAUACAACCUACAGAUGCUAUGCUGUGAACUUGUCUAAUAUAGAAUGUACCCAUUGCAUAGUGGUUUAGGACCAUGGACUGCAUAAUGUGUGGCAUGGUAACUGGUUCGGUUUAUUGUAGUGCUGUAUGCAGUCUGCACAUCAGUAGAUAUGAUUGUUACUGUAUAAAUCAUGUCAUGCGCACAUGAAGACAUGAUUCAGGUUGUGUGUAUGAUUUACAGUUCAUCAUUUAUAAUUCUAUAAUCUUUCUGGCAGAUCCAACGAAAUUUACAGUUACGAAUAGAAGAACAGGGGAGGCACCUUCAAAUGAUGUUUGAGAAACAAUGCAAAUCAGGUAUUGACGUUGACAAGUUGAAGGCAGCUUCAUCUGCUUUGGAAAAUCCCUCUACUCUGUCCUCAGAUGCAAUCCAGGACUCCCCUGCCAAAAAUGAUUUGGAAACCGCCCAGGUAGACUGUGGCAAGACACCAACUGACACAAUUUAUGCCAACCCUGCACUAGAAGGAGGAUCACAGGAUCUGAAUAGAAAGCACAAGGUAUCGCCAACUGAAACUCCUGAAAAUUCUGAGCCAUACAAUACUGAUUCAAGUUUGCAGCCUGCAAAACGUCCAAGAACAGAUGCCUAGGCCAACAGCAUUGAAAUAACAGGUUGAUAGUGAUUCAUGGAGGAGUUUAAUCCUGAGUAGGACAGACUUAUAAAUAGAUCUUGAGAACUUUGAGGUUCUCCUGCUUCUGUUUAUGUGCCUCAUGCACACUCUAAUUAGUCCAUAAACAAGGUAGAUGGGAGAUUUUUUAUCGAAAUCUUUGUCCUCCUGUCUUGUACUCCUUUUUGUGAUGAGGCUAGAGGGUGUAUAAUUAUUGUGUAAACCAUUUUAUUAAUGGCAGAGAAUGGACUCCUCUUUCUGUGUUGAAUUGGUGUCUCCUAUUGUUUAGCUAUAAACGAUCUUCUAGCUCAAGCUUGGACAUGAGAAGUGUCGGUUUUGGCCAGCUUUCAGUACACACAACCCCUGCCACUGUUUAGAUAGAUUUGUGGAAUGUUGACAUUGCACCAAGGAAAGCUGUUCUGGUCUUGAUGAGUAACCAUGUGGAUUAAGCACAGGAGAUGACCUUUCACGCAAUUGAGUUGUGCCGUAUAGGUCAACCACUCAAUAUGCUGAAAACCCGUGGUUAUGCAAAUUCGAAUAGGUAACUAUCAGUUGACAGAAGAAUGCAGUGUUGCUUUAAAAAUAUUGGAUUACGAGGCAAAGCUUGAACCUUGUUGUCAGACAUAGCCAUAUAGGAGACCGAUCAAACAAACCAUUUUAAACAUGCAAUAUGAUAUCUUCAUCAUUUGGGUUUGAAGCAUUCUGUUGUAGGCAUAUGGGAAGAGUAGUGUCAGAAGAAUGGCCAAUCAAAAAGCUGAAGUUGCUUGAAAAGUGAUCCCUUUUUCGCCAAGUAACACUCCAUUUUUAUGAAGUAUUGAAAUGCACAAGCUUCUUGUGCAUGCGCUGACGAAAGCAGAACCUUAUCAGAGACUUAGUAUCAGAGCUGAUUGAAGCGCUUCUUGAUGGUGAUAUCAGCUGUAAGAAUGACAAAUUGGCCUUGAAUUUCUGAUGCACAGAGUUCCUUGCUGUCCUCAAGGAGGGCUGUGCCCAAGUGGGCUUCAUUGGAUCGAUGGAUUGUGACAAAUUUUACGAAAGUGGAAUGGAGGUAUCAUAGAUCAUUCGAUCUUUAGGGUAUUUGCAGGUUUUGUUAGAGAUUAGCAGUUUACAGUAAAUCAAAACAAGAGGAGGAAAAAACAAAGAAUUUAUUGGUAUAUCGAUGGCAGGCUGUAUUUUUAUGAUGUGAAUAUUCCUAAAUUUAUCUUGUUUUCUACAAUUUCUUUGUCGAGACCUUUCUUUGAAAGUUAGCAUCCAUAGGUGGGUGUAGACUGUGGAGUGUGACAGCAGGAAGGUGCAUGAUGUUUAAGCCUUCAAAAUCAGGGCGUAAGAAAUAAACUUGGUUGUAAAACCGAGCCUGGCCUAGGUCAUGAUUUUUUUUUUAAUUAAUUAGGGAGUUGAUCUCACAGAUCUGUGAGGAUCUGGUGAGAUUUAUUCAAUAAAUAUUUUUUUUAAUUUUUUUUAUCCAAAAUAAAUAAAUAAAUUUAAGUUAACCUGCCGAUCUAUAAAUUGAUCCAUUCACUUAUGACUCCGGCCAGGUGGGGUUGGUAAAACAAGACACUUCACUUGACCAAACAAAUGCAAUUAUUGUAAAAGAAAAUGAUCUCUCUAUAACUUAAUUAAAAAAAUAUUUUAGUUAACUCGAGUGAAUCAAUUAAAUCAAAUUAAUUUUUAUUUUUAUUUUUAAAAAUAUUAAAAUAAUAUAAUUUUAAUUUUUUUUAAAAUCAAAUUAAAUUUUAAAUGAAUUUUGCAGGUGAUAAGUUGAUUUAUCUAAAUCAAUUCUAACCUUAUUUAAUUUAAAAUUUAUUUUGAAUCAAUGUAGUAUUUGACAUUUAAGUAAUGAUUAUUUUUUACUUGAAAAUGCAUGAAAAUAAUAUAUUUUUUAAAAAAUUUAUUUUCAUAUCAACAAAUCAAAGCAAUAAAAAUUUAAUUUUAAACGUAAAAAAAUCAAAAUUUUGUAAAUCACAGUUUUUACUGGAAAAACAAAUAGAAACUACCACUACAUGCAUGUGCAUGUGCAUGCUUUUUUUUUUUUUUUUGAAAUUAAGUAGUUUGGUAUCUGAAACACCUUUGAGUCUAAGCGAGCUAAGACAGAACAAGCAAACUCUCUCUAUCCUUCUCCUACCCUCUACUUGACGUCUCUUAGACUCAAACCCACGACUUCUCAACUCACAGUUUGGUGCAUUACAUCUCUCGCAGCAUUACACACACUCAAAGCCACAGUUGAUAUCAGCUUCCAACCACCUCCUCUUUAAUACCCUCUCACCUCUCCUUCCUCUCCUCUCACCAUCCUUCUUUCACUUUCUCUUCAUCAGUUUUUUUCUUGCUGUUGUCCAUGGCUGGCCUUGUCACGGGCAGUUCACAGACCUUGCAUGCCAAAGAUGAGGUGCGUAUCAUCUUCUUAGUUUUACCUGUUAGUUCUUUGUCAUAAUCUUGUAAUGAGUAUUGUUUUAAUACUUGUAACGUACGUGCAUGGCAGCUGAGGCCUCCAACUCGCCAGUCUGCAACGUUGAAAAAAUGUAGAGUUUGUGGGGAUGAGAUUGGAGUUAAGGAAGAUGGAGAGGUGUUUGUUGCUUGUCAUGUGUGUGGCUUUCCUGUUUGUAGGCCUUGUUAUGAGUAUGAGAGGAGUGAAGGCAACCAGUCCUGUCCUCAGUGCAACACUCGAUAUAAGCGUCACAAAGGUUUGUCAAAGGUGCAUUUUCGUUUGUUAUAAGUAAACAUGUCAUGUCAAUCUAGUUCUUAACUAUGGUUAGUGUUGUGCAGGUUGUCCUAGAGUUCCUGGAGAUAAUGACGAUGAGGAUGCCAAUUUUGAUGAUUUUGAAGACGAAUUUCAGAUUAAGCAUCAUGAUCAUGACGAAUCCAAUCAGAAAAAUGUUUUUAGUCACACGGUAAAUCAAUUCAACAGAAACCAACCUCCUUAAUUUGUUGGCAUAAAUUAGAAUUUCUAGCUGAUUGAUGUCUGUUCAGUGAAUGGAGUUAUCAGUAAACCUGUCCACAAGAAUUAUUGUCCCCAUCUAAUGUUCAAAACCUGUUGAGUGAUUUGCUUCCUAAUCAUAAAUUAAUUAAACUAAUUUAGACUCUAAUUAUUGUUUAAUUUAUCGUUGAUAUCUUACUGAAUUCAAAGAAUAACCAUCUGUUAAUAGAGUAGGAAGAUCUUUAAGCUUGUGGGGUGAGUUUUGCAGGAAAUUGAGCACUACAAUGAACAGGAAAUGCACCCCAUUCGUCCGGCCUUUUCGUCAGCAGGAAGUGGUAUGCGAAUUUUGAUGAUAUGAUUUCACAUUAGGAUCUCUUUGGAAGAAGCUUUUUAUUUGUUCAUUCAUAUUCAUGUUCGUAUGGAUGAUCAGUUGCUGGUAAGGAUCUUGAAGGCGAGAAAGAGGGUUAUAGCAAUGCAGAAUGGCAAGAGAGGGUGGAGAAAUGGAAAGUUAGGCAAGAAAAGAGAGGUUUGGUGAGCAAAGAUGAUGGAGGAAAUGAUCAAGGAGAAGAAGAUGAGUACCUGUGAGUGUUUUUUGCAUCCUCAUCUUCUUCUUUGCAUUAAGAUGGUUCUGCUAUCGAUACUAACAACAUACUUUUACAGCAUGGCUGAAGCCAGGCAACCACUAUGGAGAAAAAUCCCAAUUCCCUCAAGCAGAAUCAACCCGUAUCGAAUUGUCAUUGUCCUUCGACUUAUCAUUCUUUGCUUCUUUUUCCGUUUUCGGAUCUUAACUCCAGCAUACGAUGCUUAUGCAUUGUGGCUUAUCUCUGUAAUAUGUGAGGUAUGGUUUGGCCUCUCCUGGAUCCUUGACCAGUUCCCAAAAUGGAACCCCAUUGAACGUGAAACUUAUCUUGAUCGCCUAUCCAUGAGGUUUGAGCGUGAGGGUGAGCCUAAUCGUCUGGGCCCAGUUGAUGUGUUUGUGAGUACUGUGGAUCCUCUCAAGGAACCACCAAUCAUAACUGCAAAUACAGUCCUUUCAAUCCUAUCCGUUGAUUAUCCUGUCGACAAGGUCAGUUGUUAUGUAUCAGAUGAUGGUGCAUCCAUGCUCCUUUUCGACUCCCUAGCAGAAACUGCUGAGUUUGCUAGAAGAUGGGUUCCAUUUUGCAAGAAGCAUAACAUUGAGCCAAGGGCUCCUGAGUUCUACUUCACUCAGAAGAUUGACUACUUGAAAGACAAAGUGCAUCCCAACUUUGUGAAGGAGCGCAGAGCUAUGAAAGUAAGCAGAACCAACUUCCAAAUAGUCUCCUUUGCAUAUUUCUAUAACUAGUGUUGCUUUUCACUCUUCCAACAGAUAUAAUCCUUUCCUUAACUCUACUGCAUGAAACAUUUAGUGGAAGUUCUAUGAUCAUUAGAUGUUGUUUUAAGGGAUUGAUCGUGUGGUAUUGUAGAGAGAAUAUGAAGAAUUCAAAGUAAGGAUCAACGCGUUGGUGUCAAAGGCCCAAAAGAAACCAGAAGAAGGAUGGGUGAUGCAGGAUGGUACCCCAUGGCCUGGAAACAUCACACGUGAUCAUCCUGGAAUGAUUCAGGUUUAACAACAUCAUCCGUAUAUGUCUCAUUAUUUUUAGCCUCAGAAUUGAUAUCAUAUUACAGUGCAACUGAAAGCUGCUUUGCUUUGCAGGUAUAUCUAGGAAGUGAGGGUGCGCUCGACGUGGAAGGCAAGGAGCUUCCGAGGCUUGUGUAUGUUUCCCGUGAGAAACGACCUGGAUAUAACCACCACAAGAAAGCAGGUGCCAUGAAUGCUCUGGUGAGUAAAACUUUACUAAAUCUCAAGUUUUCUGAUCCUAGAGAAUUCAAAUAACUAAUGGAAUUCAUCAUUGUAUGCCAUUUCUAGAUUCGAGUCUCAGCAGUGCUCACCAAUGCACCUUUUAUGUUGAAUUUGGAUUGUGACCAUUACAUCAAUAACAGCAAGGCUGUAAGAGAAGCCAUGUGCUUUUUGAUGGAUCCCCAACUUGGGAAGAAGCUCUGCUAUGUCCAGUUUCCGCAGAGGUUUGAUGGUAUUGAUCGCCAUGAUAGAUAUGCUAAUCGCAAUGUUGUGUUCUUUGAUGUAAGUUGUGCUGGAUUAAAAAACUCUUAUAUUCUCUGAUGUUAAGAAAAUAACAUAGCAGCAAUUUCUGAUUUUUCAAUCUAACGAAUUUGUGAGUGAUGCAUUCAUUUAAUUUUCUGUGACAGAUAAACAUGAAAGGUCUAGAUGGGGUUCAAGGGCCAGUAUAUGUUGGUACUGGAUGUGUCUUCAACAGGCAGUCCUUGUAUGGCUAUGAUCCUCCAGUGUCUGAGAAGAGACCCAAGAUGACAUGCGAUUGCUGGCCUUCAUGGUGUUGCUGUUGCUGUGGUGGUUCAAGGAAAAAGUCUAAGAAGAAAGGGCAAAGAAGUCUUCUUGGAGGACUAUACCCCAUGAAAAAGAAAAUGAUGGGGAAGAAGUACACAAGGAAAGCAUCUGCACCAGUCUUUGAUCUUGAAGAGAUUGAAGAAGGGCUUGAAGGCUACGAAGAGUUGGAGAAAUCAUCACUCAUGUCACAAAAAAGUUUCGAGAAACGGUUUGGGCAAUCACCGGUAUUUAUUGCCUCUACCCUCAUGGAAAAUGGUGGCCUGCCUGAAGGAACUAACUCUCAAUCACACAUUAAGGAAGCCAUUCAUGUUAUAAGUUGCGGGUAUGAAGAAAAAACCGAAUGGGGUAAAGAGGUGAGUACUGAGUAGCAUUUCGAAAGGCCCUUUGUUUUUAACGAAUCUUUCAAGACUUGCAACAUUGGCUUCAAUUUUCAUUUAUUGAAAAAUCGUAUAUUUAUGGAGUCUGAAGAACAUCAGCAUUUUGACAAAUUUCCUGUUGUUUUUGUUUAUAAAUGGCCAAAGUUACGUUCCUUUUACUUAUCUGCUCAAAAGCUGAAGCAUUAAUGUUUAAGCAAAGUCAAUGUUCAUAUCAUCAUCAUAACUGGGUGAGUUGAAAGAUUACUGAAUGAAGAAUUUUCUUAAUCGCAGGUUGGAUGGAUUUAUGGUUCUGUUACAGAAGAUAUCCUGACAGGCUUCAAGAUGCAUUGUAGAGGGUGGAGGUCUGUCUACUGUUCUCCCCAGAGACCAGCUUUUAAGGGAUCUGCUCCCAUUAAUCUAUCAGAUAGGUUGCACCAAGUUCUGCGAUGGGCACUAGGCUCUAUUGAGAUUUUCCUUAGUCAUCACUGUCCUCUAUGGUAUGGCUAUGGAGGAAAGUUGAAGUUGCUGGAGAGGCUUGCUUACAUCAACACCAUCGUUUACCCUUUCACCUCCAUUCCCUUACUUGCCUACUGUACUAUUCCAGCAGUCUGCCUUCUGACAGGAAAAUUUAUCAUCCCUACUGUAAGUGAUACUGAAUUGUAUUGCAGAGAUUAACACAUUGAAAACAAUGUCAUUCCUCCAUCCACAGCUAUUCUUUUUUGUCUCUUCCAAUAGUAUUAAUUUUAACCAAAUUUAUUUUUUUUCUUUGCAGCUGAACAACCUUGCUAGCAUAUGGUUCCUAGCCCUUUUCAUCUCAAUCAUAGCAACAUCUGUGUUAGAACUUCGAUGGAGUGGAGUCAGCAUCCAGGACUUGUGGCGUAAUGAGCAAUUUUGGGUUAUCGGCGGUGUCUCAGCUCAUCUUUUUGCUGUCUUCCAAGGCCUCCUCAAGGUCCUUGGAGGAGUAGACACUAACUUCACUGUUACAUCAAAAUCAGCAGACGAUGCCGAGUUUGGAGAGCUGUACCUCUUCAAAUGGACCACCCUCCUCAUCCCACCAACCACUCUAAUCAUCUUGAAUAUGGUUGGAGUUGUAGCAGGAGUAUCCGAUGCAAUAAACAACGGAUAUGGAUCAUGGGGUCCUUUAUUUGGGAAGCUAUUUUUCGCUUUCUGGGUCAUUGUCCAUCUCUAUCCCUUCCUCAAAGGUCUGAUGGGAAGGCAAAACAGGACUCCUACAAUUGUUGUCCUCUGGUCUAUACUUCUUGCAUCUAUUUUCUCAUUGAUUUGGGUUAGAAUUGAUCCCUUCUUGCCCAAGCAAACUGGCCCAAUUCUCAAACAAUGUGGGGUGGAGUGCUAGCUAGUCAAUGCCUUUUGAAUUUUGCGGUCAGCUCCUGUUCUGUUCUGUGUUUUGAGUCUUUCACAGGUUAUCCCACUUUUGCACAGUUGUUUUUCCUUUUUAAUGGGGGAGUGGAGUGGUCAUUGUAUGGAUUAUCAGUGAGAUUUUUCUGUUAGCAAGCAAGCAUAUGCACGCAAACUUUAAGAAUUUUAUUAAUUAAGAAUUACUAAAAAAUUAUGCUGUUCCAAACAUUCACUCUUGAGGGAGGAAUCCUUACAAUUACAAAUUUACAAUCCACAGACUAUAUAUAUAUAUUUUCCAGGUCAAGGCAAGGAAUCUAUCCCUCUGGAUCAAAGUCAACCAAACAUGGUAGAUUAUUUCAAAAUUGGAAGUGUCCAUCUUCUUUGACAAAAACAUUAGAUUAAAUUCACUGUAAAACUGUCUCAGAGACAGAUUUAUUUGAUGUUUUCGUCUCUGCGUCACCAACCAGACAUGUUUCUGUCUCUUUUGUAUUUGUCUCUAGACACUAACCAAAAGCAAUACAUGAUACGGAACAUGCAUCCGUACUCUGGUAACUAAUUACACAGAAGGAUUAUCAAAGAAAAUAUAAAACUCAGUACUAUAAUCUUUAUACUAAGACAGCCACAAGGAAGUAAAGCCCACCUCCUUGAAUUGUAAUUUGUGAAAGCCAUGGAAUUCUGUCAAACCAAAAGUAGCCUAUCCUACGAGGUCCAUCGUGUUCUAUUUUUGAAAACUUCUCAACUUGCUGAAAGUUAUCGAGUUCUUGCUGAUAGUUCCUGUGCCACAAAAUGCAUGGUGGGCCGUGCCUCUGGCUUGGUUUGUGUGCAUGCUAAGGCCACUGUAACUACGAAAACAACUUCCUCUGCUGCUUGGCCUGUGGGAGCUUCGAGCCGCGGGUCUAGCACAGCUUCGAGCCGCGGGUCUAGCACAUCCUUUAGAAACAACUCUGGAUCGCUUAACAAUGAUGGUUUUAUUGAUGAUAAUGAGGAUAAGAGGUCUCCCGGGUGCCUUCCCAUCAUGACUUCCAAAGCCACCACCCCAAAGCUAUACACAUCACAUUUGUCUGUUACCCGCAUUGUUUGUGCCAGUUCUGAAAACACCAGGCAAUCAAAAUGAACAUCAGAAACAUCCAGUAUGAAAGUUUUUAACAUGCAUCAUGCCAUAUUUCCCAUUUCCUUGUUGUACACAUGUUAUAGCUUUUAUAAUUUUAGAGCAAUACUCAAAUGACAAGAACAAAAAUCAAGAACAUAGGAUUGUUGUCUUACCUGGAGCCAUGUAGCCAUAAGACCCAGCAACUGCAGUCCAGCUGGAGGAAUCUGUAUUCAAGAGUCUUGCUGUGCCAAAAUCCGCAAGACGUGGCUCAAAAUCUGUCUCUAGAAAAAUGUUGUUCAAUGAUAUGUCACGGUGCACAAUGGGCGGAGAACAGUCAUGGUGCAAGUAGGCAAUUGCAUGAGCUACUCCUCGCACUGUAUUCACUCUCCUGCCCCAACCAAGCUCCACUUCCCCUUCUAUCCCAUACAACACUUUUCCCAGACUUCCUCUUUCAACAUGCUCGUAAACCAGGUACAAGCAGCCCCUCCUGGAGCAAAACCCAUAAAGCUUUAUGAUGUUCCGGUGCCUAACUUCUGUCAGCAUUUUAAUCUCAUUCUCGAAACUCUGGCGAUUGGUUGCUGGGAUGUCACUGGAGUCUGACAUGUUGAGUUUCUUGACUGCAACUACUUGACCUGUAGACAAUACUGCUUUGUAAACACUACCAAAUCCUCCUCUUCCAAUGCAGUACUUCUCGUUGAAGUCAUCAGUGGCCUUGACAAUAUCCCCAAAUGUGAAUUUGCUUUCUCUUUCCCAUAUCACUGACUUGAAACUCUCACCAUUGUUGACUAUUUUGGUCUCUUCAUCAAGCAGUUUGGUUUUUCGGAAACAUAGCAGAACAGCAAAGAUAGUUGCUAUUACUAAUAAGCCACAAAAAGGAACGAUAACACCAAUAAGAACCUUUUUGUUAUCCUUCGAGGACUUGCUACUGUCUGUUGUUGGGCAUUGUGAUAGUCCUUCUCCUUCACCGCACAAUCCUGAAUUUCCAACAAAAGAUCUUGGGGAUGCAUUUUUGAAAACGCUUCCAGAUGGUAAAGGACCUGUCAACUCAUUGUAUGAGAAAUCGAAAGAAGACAGGCUAAGCAUGGAAGACAGCGAAUCUGGGAUUCUUCCUGAGAGAUGGUUAUGUGAGACAUUGAAAAUCUCCAACUGCGAUAGCUUUGCAAAAUUUUGAGGUAUGGCUCCUGAGAGUGAGUUGCUGCUAAGAUCCAACAAGUACCGCAACGAGUUUAAGUUGCCCAGUUCAAAAGGUAUUUCACCAGCAAGGUUGUUGUGGCUCAAGUCCAAGCUUGAUAGCUUCUCAUAACUCCCAAGCUCUUUUGAUAUGUUUCCAGUCAGCUUGUUAUCAGAUAAGUCGAGAGAUUCAAGGCCUUCCAAGCUGGUUAGACUCUGAGGUACCUCCCCUGUCAACUGAUUGUUGCUCAAGUUGAGCAUGAAUAACCUGCUCAGAUUUCCCAGUUCAGCAGGAAUCCUCCCAGCCAGGUCAUUGGAGCCCAGACUUAGAACUCGCAGCUGGGGCAACUUCCCAAGCUCAGCAGGGAUUUCACCAGAAAUUCUGUUUCCGUCCAUCUGUAAAUUGGUGAGGUUUUUACAUUCUCCCCAAUCUGGUGAGAUUUCACCAAUAAAUUGAUUGUCACUGAGGGCAACAAAAACAAGAUUUGGAAGGACACCAAAUGCAUCAGUGAUGUUUCCAGUGAAUCGGUUCUUUUCAAGCCGAACUCGUGAUAGCUCCGAACAAUUCCUCAAGCAGGUUGGCAGUGACCCAGUAAAACUGUUGCUGUUGACAGUAAAUUGUUGAAGACUCCGACCUCUACACAAUUCAGGCGGCAAUUCUCCAGAGAAACUAUUGUUUGAAAAGCUAGCAUACGCCAGAGAAGGCAUGUACUUCCCAAAAUCACUUGGAAUGCUACCAGAGAGGUUAUUGCCAAACAGAUUGAUGGAAGUUAAAGAAGUAAUAUCUGAAAUGGUCAGUGGCAACUCCCCAUGGAGCUGGUUGGUGUUGAGAUCAAGAAUUUGCAGCAUCGUCAAAUUUCCAACUUCUGGUGGAAUUUUACCGUUGAUGUUAUUUGAGAAAAGAUUCAGGAUUUGAAGAUUUGUGAGAUUCCAUAAUGCUGGAGGAAGGGGGCCUGAAAGCUGGUUUCCUGAAAGGUCUAGACUUAAUAACUCCUUCAAGUUUCCUAUCUCCGGGGGAAUGGAACCAGAGAAUGUGUUAUUAUACAGAAAAAGGUAUUGAAGCAUUGUCAAUUUCCCAAUUUCUGGAGGAAUAUUUCCAGAAAACAAAUUGUUUUGAACCUGAAGCGAGAUCAAUUCAGUCCAGUUGGAUAUAAGGGUAGGUGAGAUCUCACCGGAGAGAGAGUUGUCAGAUAAACCCAUAUCUGCUAGUUUAGCUAGAUUGGACAAAGACAAAGGCAAUUCCCCACUUAGUUGAUUAUCAGCCAAGGCCAAGUAGGCGAGGUUAGUGCAAAGACCAAGCUCAGGAGGGAUCGUUGAGUUCAAGGCAUUCAUCCGGAGAUCAAGCUUUUCAAGAUGCUUAAGUUGGCCUAUAGAAGGUGGAAUAUUUCCUUGGAAAGAAUUGCCGAACAACUCAACAAUUUGAAGACCAGAUAUCGAACCAAUGCUUUCGGGAAUUUGACCCCUCAACAGGUUAUAUUGUAGACUAAUGUUUUUGAGAUUGGAAAGCUUCGAAAUGUUGGAUGACAACGGUCCUUGGAAUGAAUUGUUAUAGAGAUUCAAGGCCUCAAGCUUUCCCAGAUUGGUAUAGACCAAUUCUGGUAUUUGGCCUGUGAAUUUAUUGAGUGACAAAUCCAGAAACGUCAAGUUCCGGCAAUUGGUUAUAAAAUGGGGGAAUUCUGCAGUAAGUUCAUUGAGAAAAAAACUAAGAUAUUCCAAAGAAGGCAUGGAAAAGUUGGACCAGUCAGGGUUUUCCAGGUAGUUUGCUCCAAGGUCCAAGUGUCUUACCUUGGGAAGAUUGGCAAGUUGAAAGGGGAUGAUACCGUUGAGAUUGUUGUUGUAAAGACUAAGAUACUGAAGCUCUGUCAACUGAGAUAUCUCCACAGGUAUGCUGCCCUCGAAGAAGUUGACACUGAGGUCCAAGUGAGUGAGGUUGGAGAGGCUGCCAAUGGCUGAUGGUAUCGUUCCAUUGACGUUGUUAUUCUGGAUGUCAAACCUGGUGAGACCAGUAAAAGGGGUGAAGUUGAAAUGGGCGAGUGUUCCAGUUAUGUUUAGGCUGCGGAGUUUUAUUUGAGAGACUGUUCGAGAGGUGGAGCUGCAGGAAACAGCAGUCCACUUGCAGAGGUUGUUGAGGUUGGAACGAGACCAUGAACUAAGAGGAGGAGGUGAGAAAUACAAGGUGCUUUUCCAUUGGAGGAGAGCUUCAGCUUGUGUUCUUGCAGAUGAUUUGGCUUUCAAAGGAAACAAGGAAAGAAGGAGAGCAUGGAAGAGAGCAACAUAAAGCUUUUGAGAAGCUGCCAUGCUUGGGUUAUGCAAGCUGGACAUGAUCUGGGCAGUGAUCUUAUAGCAUUUAGAGUGAGGAAUUUCUUUCAGCUGCAACUAUUUCUUUGGAUACGUUGGCUAUGCCAUUUGGAGUCACAAUCAGAACGGAAAAAAGGUGAUGCGCAGAAAAAUCAUAGUUACAAGAGCACAAAAGUCUAAAUGCGCGUUUAGAAUUGCUUUGCAAGAGUAAUUUUAAAAGUGAAUUUUAUUUUAAAAUAUAUUAAAAUUAAUUUUUAAAAAAUUCUUGUAUUCACGUAACAAAAUCAUUAAAACAAAACUAAAAAAUAUUAAUUUAAUAUUUAAAAGUAUAUAUAUAUAUAUAUAAACAGAAGCUGCUAAGCUUGAAACACUUCCUCUCAAAACUCAUCCGAGUUAACUCAAAUUUUAGUUAAAAAAACUGUAUUUUUUAUCGACCCGUUUCGGGCAAUCUUUAAAUAAACAAAUUACCAAGUUUAUAUGCUGGGUCGGAUCUGAGAGAAAUUCUUCUAGAUUGAUGUCGAAAAAAAUAAAUUCUAGUCUAACUUCCCGAGCCUUCAAGGACAAUUCAUUCAAGAUUAUGAAUAUAUACUUUCAUGAAUGAUACUUUUGUUUUAUAGAUAUUUUUUAAAUUUAGAGAUUUAGAGCUCUUUUUUUGUUUUAAAAAUGUUUUUAAAAGAAAUUUAACUUAUUUUUUAAAUUAAUAUUUUUAAUAUUUUCAAUUAUUUUGAUAUAUUAAUAUUAAAAAUAAAUUUUAAAAAAUAAAAAAAAUAUUAUUUUAAUAUAUUUUAAAUUAAAAUAUUUUAGAAAAGAAUCACCCCGCAAUAAUAUCUAUUUCCACUCUCUCAAGACUGAAGAGUUGACUAUGAAAAGUCCAUAUUAUAUGCCUCCAUGGGCCGGUAGGUGUGUGUGAAUAUAGUAAAGUCUCGUUGGUUUUUUAUACGCAUUCGUUAAUUCCAUGACAUGAUGACCAAGACCUCUCUUUGACGAUGAUGGUCACCUUAAAUUAAUUUAUGAAUAAUUUUUUAUUAUAAAAUAUUGGUAAAACACUUCUAUUUAUGUAAAACAAUUGCAGAAAAUUAAAAAUCACAAAUUUCUAACAUGAACAAUUAAUAAUUUGGAUUAAAUAAAUCUUCAAAGAAAAAUAAAAGUAUAGUCUAAAAAUAAUGAACUAUUAUGUUUACCUAGUUGGAUGCUGAAUGAGAAUUUAGUACUUAUUUUUAAAUGAAUAUUCAAAUUAACAUUAAUUUUCUUCAAAAAAAGUCAAGGAUUAUAUGUCUUUUUGCUCAUGGAUCUAUUAUAUGGUACGGGAUGUUUGAAAAUAUUGUAACGAUUAUUUUUUAAAAUAACUUUUAUUUUAAAACACAUCAAAAUAAUAUUUUUUAUUUUUUAAAAUUUAUUUUUAACAUCAGUAUAUAAAAAAUAAUCUAAAAAUAAAAAAAAUAUUAAUUUAAAAUAAAAAAUAAAAAAAUAAUUUUUUUUAAAAAUAUUUAUGAAAUGCAAUUGCAAAAAAAGUACCCAGGUAUAAAGAAGAUUGGCUCCAGCUUGAUCUCAUUUGUCCUUUUCAGGGUGGAUCUAACUAAGGUUAAAUUCAGAGAACCAAGAGACUGUGAAGCCAUGAUUUAUUUGGAGUGUUCAUAUAUUAUUAUGGACACUCUCUCUUGUCUAUCUCCAGGCACAAAAAUUCAUGAUUUCCCACCUCUACUGAGGGGCCUGAUGCUUUUUUCCGGGUUUUCAAAUUGUGAUUUAAAUAAAAAUUUAUUAAAAUAAUAUUUUUAAUUUUAAAUAGAUGAGAUUAUUUUUAAAAUUAUUUUUAUUUAAAAACAUAUUAAAAUAAUAAUAUUUUUUUAUUUUUGAUAUUAAAAAACAUUAAAAAAUAUUUAAAAUUAAGCCAGUCAAACAAUGAAACGAAUUCUAAUGCUUUUUUUUCUUUAUAGUGCUUUCUUCGAUCUUUCUCGGCCUAUUGAAAGGGAGUUCGUGUUUACAUUACAUGAUUAAGCCAGUCAAACUGCCCAACAAAGUCAGAGUCAACUUUUGAACUUCCAAAAAAAAUCAAAAUCAAAAUUAAAUGAACUUGGAGAAACAAUUGACUGAGACUAAUAAGCUUUAGAAAGCAUGUAAAGACUUUAUGGUUCUAUCAAAACUAAAAAUUUAUAACACAAAUAAUUAUAUUAAGAAAUCCAAGAAUAUUUAUAACAUAAAUAAUAAUAUUUUUUAUAUUAAUACUUUGAAUUAUAAUAAAAAUAAUAAUAUUUAUUAUGCGAACCCAAACUUACAUACAAACUUAUCCUAACUCAAUCAGAGUUCAACGCAGCAUUAAUAACAAAACUAACUUUAUAAUAUAAUUGAAUUGUCUUAAUACAGGAGUUCAUAUAAUUUCAUAGUUUUGGAGCACUAACUAGACAAAAAGAAAGGUACAAAUUACAACCAAAAGAGCAGGUUCUGAAGGUCCAACAAAAGUGACCUGCUAUCAAGCUAUAAGCCUGAAAAGGUAAAUAAUGAGAGGGUGGGUUCAACAACUCAGUGAGUAGAUAACGUUCAAUACACACACACGAGAUAAUACAGCAAUGAGAAAUAUAUAUACAAGUAUGGCUCUAGGUUCUUAUAGAAAUGUUUCUCAAAUUGACCAUAACAAGAAUAUCAUAUGGUAAAACUCGUCAGAAAAUCAAAAUGCAAUGAGCAUGAGGCUCCGUACUGUGGGAUGAUCAGUCCACACAGGUUGGUGACUCCCCCGACCAACUAGGGUUCAGAUACGAUGUGCUCAAAGACUAACACUACCCUGUUAGCAUUGGUAUUCUGACUGACAUACCAUAGGUUCAUAAUCAUAAUCUGUUGCGAUGUCGCGGUCGUACAAAUUAAUUACCCUAGCUUCAAACACAACACACAAGAUAGUAUAGAGCAAGCAAGGGGUCGAUCCCACGAGGAAGAUUCAAGUCAGAUUUUUAUGCUAGAUGGUAUGCAAUUUGGGGGGGGGGGGUUUGGACGUUAUCUAGGCUAAAGCAAAAGAAAACAGAAAACUAUCAAACUAAAUUUAAUAAAAUCAGAAAAUUACCAAGAGAACAAACCUUGGUCACAAGCACACAUCCACCUACAGAAAUCAGAACUGAUAAUGGAAACGAAACAUCAAUUUAUAUUCUGAAUAUUUAUCUCUUCUUAACAUUGGUUAGUUAACGGAUCCGCCGUAUAACUAACCCUAACUAUCAAACAACCACAGUGUCCGCACUAGUAAUUUAAUUCAAUGGCAGCCUUAAGAACUAGAUAAGUUGAAUAAUCAAGAAAACAUAACUGUCCGCAGUCUAUGUUUGAUUUGAUUGAAUGUUCUCCCUAAGAUUAAUAACGUAGAUCCGCCACAAUUAUUAAACUCAGUUGCUUCACAAAUUCAUAUACCACAACUCCGGUUUUGAUAUCAAACUUAGCAAUAGAUUGUCUACAAUAAUAACUUAGAGUCCGCUCUAGCAAUUAAAAUAAACAAUCAUAGAAAAAAUAAGCAUUGAAGAACAAACAUAUUCAUCAUAUAAACUGAAAAGAAAAGGUAAAAUAAAUCUCACAGUUCUUGAAAUCCGAAGGUUUCCGUGUCCUUGCAACCAAGAAAAAGUGUUUAGUCUUGCAUGUUUGUUGAACAACUAAUCAAAAAGAAGGAAGAAUGCAUAAUUUCGUGUUUCUUAGAGGAGGGGGGCGUUUUUCUCCUCUUGGCUGGCCGCCCCCCUUCUCUUCUCUCAUUCUUUUUAUAUCUUAGGAAACCCUAGGUCUCUAUUUUACAAAAUAGUCCUCCAUUAAGUAGACUGUUUACAUUUAAGUACUUCAAUAACUAUUUUCCUAAAAAAUGAGAAAUAGCCUUGCAUGAAAUCUUCAAGCUUUGACUUAGAGGAGCUAAAUUGCUGAAAUAAAAACUUGGAUAUCGGUUUAGAUGAUUCGGAACGUAAUUUGGACUCGUUUUUUCACGAAACCUGUUUGCUGGCAGAAUUCAGAUGUCAUCUUUGAAAAAUCAUAUCUCCCUCAUAUGACAUCGGUUUUGGCUGAAAUUUGGAGAGUUUAUAGAAAUUUGAGUCAUGAAUCCAAAAAAAUUGAGUUUGCAUCAAUUGGACUUCUUUAGCUCCAGAUAUUCAAGUUGGAAUGGCCGAAGGUCAACACUGGCAGAUUGCGAGAUUUGACUUUGAAGGCUGCGAUUUCCAUGCUCUUCCUUAUUUUAUUUUCUUGCCUUAGAUGACCAGAAAGGUAUGGAUGUUAGCUUUUUAAUGCCACUGGAAUCACUUCAUUUUAACCUCUAGAGCUCACGCUCUCCACAAAACAUCGACUGAAGGUCAAAUCUGCCAAUUAUCUCCAAUUUACUCCUUUUUGCAUCUUUCAUCCAAAAGUGCCUUCAAAACAUAAAACAAAGAAUAUCAAGGAAUUAUAUAUAUAAAACAUAGGCAAAACACUAGUUAAAUGUGGGUGAAACUAUUGAAUAAUAUGGUUGCAUCAUAAUCAAACAGACAUAUUCAUAUCUCAAGGCUCAACUUAUGACAUCAAUCAAAUGAGGAGCUAUCAAUUCAGAAGUCAAUUCAGAAUAUAUAUAUACUGGUUCAUAUCAAUAAUUUGGAUUCAACAAUUGAUCAUGCUUAUCAUAACAAGGAUAAUAAUCAACAUAUAUAUUAUCAAGAAGCAUGAUCCAAUUCAUAUUAACAAAUCAAAUAUUUAUAAUAUUUCUCAUGCAUAUGGAAAAUUAUCCACUCACCUGACUCGAAAGCAACAAAACUCAAAGCUGAUAUCGAAGGAAAUCCUACUGACGUCCCGCCGGUAGAAUAUCAGGAUUAUCUGAAUACAAAUGAGACAUAUUCAAGAACGACUUGAAAGAACAUAUAACCUAUUUAAUACACUUAUCUAAGGGUGUAUUCCAUAACCCUAUAUGUUUUUAGACUAAACUAGUUAUUUUCUCAAAAACCCAAAAAUUAACGGUUUUCCCGAAAUUUAAUCCAUAAUAAAACAAAUAAUAAAACUUGAUAAUAAUUCACUAAAUAACCCUCAAUUAUUCAUCAAACCAAUCUGCAAAAGCUAAUAUUACAGCUAGGGACCAAUCUGUAAUUUAUCAUAUUUUUAGGGCCAAAUUGUAAUUUUCAUCUAAUUGGAGGACCAAACUAAACAUAUCAUAAAUUCAUGACUAUAGUGGAAUUAUGUCCAUAAUUCAUCCUCAUUUCUGUUCAGAACCUCUAAUUAUGCUCCAGGGACCAUUCUGGAAUUUUUCCUAAUUUUUAGGUUCAAAUUGUAAUUUUUGUCAAAUUGGAGGACCAAAUUGAAAGUGUUAAAUUUUCAUAUCUAUACAGUAAUUCUGCCCAUAAUUCAUAUGUUAUUCUGUUCAGAAUCUCGGAAUAUGCUCCAGGGACCAAUUUGUAAUUUUCCAAAGUUUGGGGACUAAACUGUAAUUUCCAUAAAUUGAGGGACCAAACCGAAAUUUUGUCAUCUUCAACCUCAAACCCAGAAUUCUCACAGAUUACCUACUGUUCUUGCCAAAUUUCUAACUCAACAUUCACCAUUUACACAAUUCAUAACUCAAAAUCAUCACAAUCUUCCAUAAUCAACUCAUUAAUCAAUUACCCAUAACAAUCAACCUUAUAACAUUCGAUUUAAUUCAUCAAUUAAACCCAAAACAUAAAUUUUCAAAACCCUAACAUUCAUCAAAACUGAAAUUAAGUUCAAUUAACAUACAUUUAUACAUUUAACAACCUAAAUCUUACCUUUAAACUUAUUCUCUUCAACUCCUUUCUAUUUCCCUUCUAAUUUCCCUCUUUUCUCUUCUUCUUCUUCUUUCUCCCUUCUCUCUCAUGGUUUGCUCUCUCAAAAUAUUCAGAUCUCUUCUUCUUCUUCUUUUCUUCUUUCUAUUUAUAUUUAUUAUGUUUAUCUAAUUACCACACUACCCCUCAUUCAUUUAUACUUACUCUUUAAGUUUUCAAGGGCUUUGUUGCCAUUUCCUAUCUCUUUAUAUUCAAAACAUUACACACGCAGAUCUACCCCCAAUGCCCCAAGGCUUGGCAGACCCCGCGCCAGGUAUUUGCUGCCUGGGGUCGUGGCCAGGCGCGCGUGGUGGCCCCAACGCUCUGGCUUGCCAGCCCUAGCGCGAGGUGUCGACAGCUUGAGCUAAUUAAUUAUAAUUAAUUAAUGCUUUUAAUUACAAUAAAGAUCACAAUAUUUAGAAUACAAAUAAUAAUAUUAAACUUGCGUGACCAAAGUUUAUACAAUAAUAAUUUUUUUUAAAAAAAUUAUUAACAAUAAUAAUAAUAAUGACAAUUGUUACUAUAUAUUUUUUUUUCAAUUUUCUUCUAUUCUUAAUAUCAAUACUUUUAAUUACAAUAAAGAUAAUAAUAUUUAGAAUACAAAUAAUAAUAUUUACCAUAUUAAUAAUAAUAUUAAUUUUGCACGGCCAAAGUUUCUACAGAAAGAAUUUUUUUAAAAAAAAAUCAUUAACAAUAAUAAUAAUGAUAAUUGUUAUUAUGUUUUUUUUUUUCUUCUUUACAAGGUCUGUCGAUACAGCAGCGUAGGCCUCUAUACCCAAGGGUAGUUAUAGCAGACCUCGAUGGCCGUGUGUGAACCUAACGUGUGGGUCUAUAAGCUAGACACUCGAGUUUGUAGACCCUGACUCACGGGUUUGCAGAUCCUAAAACCGCGGGGCUGUAGGCCCGCUCGCCCUGGGGCUGCGCCAAGACCUCUCUUUGACGAUGAUGGUCACCUUAAAUUAAUUUAUGAACUAUUUUUUUAAUUAUAAAAUAUUGGUAAAACACCUCUAUUUAUGUAAAUCAUUUGCAGAAAAAAAAACAUUUGUGAAUUGUUCAUGUUAAAAAUCACGAAGAAAAAUAAUGUUGAUUAAAUAAAUCUUAUGUAGUUGUGCAACCUCCCACUUAUUUUCAACAUUUAAAAAUCACAAAUGUUUAACAUGAACACUUAAUAAUUUGGAUUAAAUAAAUCUUCAAAGAAAAAUAAAAGUAUAGUAUAAAAAUAAUGAAUUAUUAUAUUUACCUAGUUGGAUGCUCAAUGAGAAUUUAGUACCUAGUUUUUUUAAAUGAAUAUUCAAAUUAACAUUAAUUUUUUUAGUACCUAUUUUUUUUAAUGAAAAUUUAGUACGUAAUUCACCUAUUUUAAAUUCAAAUUAAUAUUAAACAUUUUUUUUGGCUAAUAAAAUGACCAAUUAAUAAUAUAUUUUUAUAUAGUGUUUGGUUAUUGUUACAUAAUAGAAAAAUCAAAGAAGAUAAAGACAAAGAUAACAAAUUAUUUCCUUAUACUUUAUAUUUUGAAAAUAUAAAGAUAAAUUUAUUUUAUAUCUCUAUAAAGUAUCUCUUAAUUAAUAAUUCCAUCGAUCCACCAUCAAUCUAUCUGGUGUGAUAAUGUAUUAUUAAACAAUUGUAAUGGAUUUUGUUUAUGGUAGUGUUUGGAAUUGUAGUAAUAAUUAUUUUUUGAAGCACUUUUUAUUUUGAAUAUAACAAAAUAACUUUUUUUAUUUUUUUAUAUUAACACAUGAAAACAACCUAAGAUUAUUAAAAUAAUUUUUAAACACAAAAACAAUCACAACCUUCAUCUAUAUAAUAACCUAGGAUUAGAAGUUUCAACUCCUAAUUAAUUGGUUUUUAGCUGUCUUAUAGUGACAUUGAAAAGUUUUAGACUUUACAUAUGCCUAUGCAAGAUAAAAUAAACCUUGAUAUUCGAGUCCUAUUUUAACUCUUUUUUUUUUGUUUCAGAGUCCUAUUUUAACUCUAAAAAGUCGGUUUGGAAACUAAGAAAUUGUAUUUUUUUUUUAUUUUUUGAAUUUAAACUUUAAUAUCAACACUUGGAAGAAUCUAUUCCUCUAAAUUUAUUAGAAUCAUAUGAAGAUUGUAUAUUAAAAUAUUUAAAGCAAAAAUAAUUUAGUUUUGAUUUUGGAAAAUAUAAAAAAAAUAUUAUAUUUACCUUUCUUGCAGAUAUCAAAUAUCAAAACCUGAAGAUCCAUAAUUAAACUAUGUAUAAUCUAGGUAUAGAUGUAUAAAACUCAGUUACAAGACUUUGUCUAGAUUUACCUGCCAGUUUGAGGUAGGCCUGAGUAUUUUCGGUUCGGUCCGAUUUUGGACCAAAAUAAACAACUAAACCAAAAAAUUUUUAGUUUUUGAACCGAACCGAAUCGAACCGAAAACCGGUUCAAACCGAUUAAUUUCGGUUCGAUUCAGUUCAAUUCAGUUUUUUCCCCUUCCAAACCGGUUCAAACUGAAAUGAUGAUUCUCGAGCUAAUUUCAGAUUCAAUCCACUCCUUCUCCAGGAAAUGUUACAAGGUCUACCAGUUGCAAACAAAUAGAAAGUAAUUCCCAACAUCAUGCAUGCACCCAAAUCUCAUCCUAUUGAAAUCACCAAAGAUCAGAUCGAGUCCAUGAUUACUGGAUUCAACCAGAAGCAUUUCCAAAAGAAAUUACCAAACAUCGCCGCAGGGAAAGAAGUAAACAGAAGCAUGAUAUAAGAGAUAAACCUACUAAAACUAUCAAGCACCACAAAGCCACAACAUUUGAGCCAAGAACAUGCAGAUAUGAGAGAUGAGAGACAGAGAUAGAGAGCAUGGAAGAGAAGAAACAGAUUUGACUAAAAUCAUUUGAGAGAUGAGAGAUAGGGAAUAGGGAGAGGGGGCGGCUGAAAGAGCAUGGAGCUUAAGCAAAGGAGCAUGGAGCAGGAGCUUAACAACUAACAAGUAACAAUCAUGGAGCUGAGCAUGAAGAAAAAUCAAAGAGAAGAUGAGGGGGAGAUGCAGAGAGCAAAGGGAGGGAAGGAGAUGUAGAGAGCUAGAGAGCAAAAGGAGAGGGGGCGGCGGCGGCUGAAUGUAGGUUUGGGGUUAAAAAACUUUAUAUUUAUACUUGUUUUUUUUAAUGGUGGCCUGGUUGAACCGGUUCGGUUCAAUCGGUUUCAGACUUUAGAAACCGAAACUUUUUUGUGAUGUUUUUAAGCGGUUAAUUCGGUUUUUUUUCGGUUAUUUUUUUUUCCUGUUUUUUCGGUUUAAUCGGUUUAUCGGUUUUUUUGUUCACCCUAGUUUAAGGGCUAACCUGGACAGAGUGAGUGUUUAAGAUUGUGAUAAUUUUUAUUUUUUAUUAUAAUAUUUUUUUAAUGAUUUUCAAAGAUUUUAAUAUGUUGAUAUAAAAAAUAAUAAAAAAAUUAUUUUAAUAUAUUUUUUUUAAAAAAAUAAUUUUACUAAAUUAUCUACACUACAAUACUAAAAAUAUACUGAACUUUUAUUUUAUUUUUAAAAUAUUGUUUAGGGUUUUCAAAAAAGUGAAGGAUUAUCUUGGUCUUCCCACUAAUGGACCCACUCUAUAGUAUAAAGCUAAGAAGAUUGACUCCAAUUUGAGCUCAUUUGCCCUUUUCAGGGGGAAUCUAAGGUUAAAUUCAGAGAACCAAAGACUGUGAACUCAUAUGAUAUCUUUGAAAUGUUCAUAAAUUAUACAGUAAUUAAAAAGAUAAAAAAUAAUAAUAAUUUAAAACUAAAAAAUUAUUUAAAAUGCACGACUGUACCAUGCUUUUUCUUUAUAGUGCUUUCUUCUAUUUUUCUCAGCCCAUUGAAAGGGAGAUUGUGUUUACCUAAUUGGUAAAAAUUAUGAUAGUAGUUAUUUUUUAAAGUAUUUUUUAUUUAAAAAUAUUUUAAAAUAAUAUUUUUUAUUUUUUAAAAAUUAUUUUUAACAUCAGCACAUCAAAACGAUAUAAAAACAUAAAAAAAAUUAAAUUUAAACAAAAAACAAUAAUUUUUUUUUUAUAGAACAUGAUUUGCACCAAGUUUCUAAACAGUAUCUUUAUUAAGCCAGUCAAACUGCCCAACACGGUCAAAGUCAACUUUCGAACUUUCAAAAGAAAAAAAACAAUCAAAAUUCUUCAAUUCAUAUUUGAACUUGGAGAAACUUUUUACAUCAAAAUAUUAAAGUAAUUUAAAAAUAUUAAAAAAAUAUUAAUUUAAAGUAAAGAAAAAUAUAAAAAAAAUUUAAUUUUUUUUUAAAACACAAAAACAAAUAAAAUUUGCUAAAAAAUUAUGUAACAGCAGCACGACGUUCAUCUAUAUAAUAACCUAGGAUUAAAAGUUUCAACUCCUAAUUAAUUGGUUUUUAGCUGUCGUUUACUUACAUUGAAAAGUUUGAGACUUUACAUGUCUUAUAAUAUAGGGUUUUUAUUUAUAUUGGUUUUUUAAAGUGUUUUUUAUUUUAAAAUAUAUUAAAAUAAUAUUUUAUCGAAAUAAUUUAAAAAUAAAAAAAUAUUAAUUUAAUGUAAAGAAAAAAAUAAAAUAAUUUUUUUUUUUAAAUAAUUCUGAAAUGCAAUUGCGAAAAAGAGUACCCAGGUAUUGAUCUCAUUUGUCCAUUUCAGGGUGGAUCUAACUAAGGUUAAAUUCAGAGAACCAAGAGACUGUGAAGUCAUGAUUUCUUUGGAGUGUUCAUAUAUUAUUACGGACUCUCUCUCUUGUCUAUCUCCAGGCAACAAAAAUUCAUGAUUUCCCACCUCUACUGAGGGGCCUGAUGCUUUUUUCCGGGUUUUCAAAUUGUGAUUUAAAUAAAAAUUUAUCAAAAUAAUAUUUUUAAUUUUAAAACCGGAGAUUAUUUUUAAAAUUAUUUUUUAUUUUAAAAUAUAUUAAAAUAAUAUAUUUUUUUAUUUUUGAUAUUAAAAAAUAUUUAAAAAUAUUUAAAAUUAAAAAAUAUUAAAAAUAUUAAAAAAUAUUUAAAAUAAUAUAUUUAACUUUAAAAUAUAAUAUUUAUAAAGUUAUACACAUCGUAUUUGUCUGUGACCCGCAUUGUUUGUUUGUGCCAGUUCUGAAAACACCAGGCAAUCAAAAUGAACAUCUGAAACAUCGAGUAUGAAAGUUUUUAACAUGCAUCAUGCCAUGCAAGGUUGUUAAAAUCACGAUUUUAACUCGGCACGGAAAAUAUAAAACAAACUCGGAUCGUAAAAACGGAUCGUAAAAUCGUAAAAUCAUAAGGAAUUUUAAAAUACAUUAAAAAAAAUUCAUGCUUCAAAUAAAAAUUCAUAGCACUUUAAAAUACAUGGUUCAAAUAAAAAUUCAUACAUAAUUUAAAUAACUUUUUAUUAAUUAAUAAUUAACAAACUUUUUGUUAUAUAUUACAAUUCACAAAACUAUAAUACUUUCAAUCUGCUUCAGUACAUAUACUAUACAAUUAUUUUUUUUUGGAAAAUCAGGCAGAGACAAAUUCCAAUUUCAAUCAGGCAGAGACACAUUCUAAUUUCCACAUUUCACAGGCACAUUCAAUUAGGCAAACACAUUCCAUUAAAAUCAUUCCAUCAAUUCAUCAUACUAAACGAACUCAAUGCUUUUACAGUUUUACAAAACAUUAUCAGGAAUCCUAUCCGGGGCAAUACUGAUGGAUUUCGAUGAAAGGACCUUGAUCAGGAUACUAAGCAAAACAUCAGCUUUACACUAAAAUCAUUCCAUCAAUUCAAUUCAUCAUACUAAGCAAAACAUUAUAAAAUCAUUCCAUCAAUUCAAUUCAUCAACAUCUGUACAGGGGAAUAUUACACUAUUACAGUUUAACAUUUUGAAGGCCUACACAGGGGAAUAUUACAUCAUGGGCAAUCACAUGAAGGCUGAAGAUACAGGGGAGCAACUUACGGUGAAGAGGAAGCCGUUGAUGAUGAAGGCUGAAGAGGAGAACGAUAUCGCCUGCUACUGUUGAUAAAGAGGAAGCCGUGAGCUGUUGAUGAUGGGAAAUAAAGGAGAUCGUCGCCGCCUCGCCGCUGUUGAUGAAAAGGAAGCCGUGACCGUGAGCACUGGUGACUGGAGUGAAGACUGGACUGAUGACUGGAGUGAAGACCGGACCGAUGACUGGGUCACUGGAGUGAAGACUGGACUGAUCGUCGCCGCUUUUGUGGUAGCUGGUUGGUUAAUAGAGAAGGAGAUUAGGGAUUUGUAUUCAGUGAAAAGGAAGAAACACCCAAAAUGCGAUCUGGCAUGAUGACUGGAGUGAAGAUUUGGAGUGACUGUGCAUUUAGCCAGCCAAUAGACGCCGGACAGCUAGAGCAUGGGAGAAACAUUUACUUCAGUUUAUGCAUAUUGGUGAAAUCGUUCAAUCGGUCCUGAAAUCGCGAUUUUAUGCGAUUUCAUCCGAUUUUAACGAUUUCACCCGAUUUCACCCAUUUUCGAUUUUUCCAAACGAUUCAACACGCAAAGCAUGUUUUGACUCGUAAAAUCGUACGAUUUUACGAGUCAAAACGCGAUUUUAACAACCUUGAUGCCAUGUUUCCCAUUUCCUUGUUGCACACAUGUUAUAGCUUUUACUAGCUUUGAUACCUGCGCAAUACUGCGAGCGUUUUAAGUAAAAUUUGAUUCUAAUUAUUAUAAUAAACAAUGAUAAAAUAAUCAGAAAUAUUAUACAACAGCAAAAAAACAUGAUAUUUAUAAAAUUGGUGGUGAAUUGUAAAAGUUAAGUAAAGGCAAUUAAAUCCAAGUAGAAUAAAAGUGUCUAAGCUAAAUAUUUUAUGCUUAAUUUAUACAUAUAGAUAGAAAAGUGGACGUCAAUGAGCAACAGGUUGUAAUAAAAAAGCACGUGAUGAAGAUGUUCAAUCAGUUUGCGAUGUUGGAUAAGAAAGCAUUGAUUAACCAAAUGUUAAUUUUUUUCCUAAGCUAUAAAUUAUUGUUAAAUCAAUAAACAUCAAAUAUUCUUGAAGAUAAAUAAGAAAUGAGAAAUAAAGAUGUAAUUAUUGCUGAGUAUAUGAGUUCACAAAGAAGGGAAGGCAAUUAGAAAGCGAGAAUGAUAUAGUUAAUUGUUUGUUAAACAAAGAGAUGGUAGAGCAGUAUAGAGAGCUAACUAAAUAAUAUUGGAGAUGCAAACCUUUUCAGAUGAUAAAAUGGAGAGGUGUUGCUUCUUUGAAAGUGCUGGUGCAGGACCGACAUCAAUAUCUCCGCAAAGAUGUUCACUUGAUGAGCCUGCAUAAUCUUCCAAGGGUCCUGUAUGGUCAUCCAUCACGCCCAAAAAAGAACAACCUUUGCUCAUUAAGUAGUUUUGUUUUGACAACAAUAAGUUGGAAAUACAAACCCCCUUCUCGCUCUAAAGGAUAUAUAAUUGAAGAAAUAAGUUGAACAAAUGUGAUGAAGAUACAAUAAUAAAAGAUCAAGGAGAGCUAAAAAAGAACAUUAUGUGUUGUUAAACAUUGAAAUACCAUAUCCAUGAUUAAGCAUGCAAGGAAAUGGAAAGGCAUAAAGCCAAUAAGUUAUGCCGUAUAUAUGCAAGGAAAUGGAAAUCGAAAGGCAUGAUGAUCCUGACAAGCGCCAAGAAGAAGAAGUUAUGCUGUAUGCAAGGACAUAUUGGAAAUUAAGGCAAGAAAACAAAAACAAAAUCUGCAAAGAAUAAGGACAAUAAUUUUUGUAAUUUUUUAAUGAGAGUGUCUUAUGUUUUGUCAUCUUUAAAAAAAAUUAAAAAAAUAGGGUAAGAAUUUUUAUUUUUAUUUUAUAAAAUCCAAUUAUAAUUCGUAGAUUGACAUAUAUAAACACUGCUAAAAAAAGGGAAUUAUGACCUCCCUCUUUUAUAUGGUCUUCAGGCAUGCCAAAUCCGUUGUAAGCUCAUGUUUUUAAACGAAGAAUAAUUAACCUAACCUCAUCAUAAAAACCAAUGCUUAAUUAUAUCUAAUAAAACAACAUGUCUUAAUAAAUAUAUAACCCAAGUUUUAAUUGUGAUGCUGAGAAACAUAUACAAAUUAAUAUACAAUAUGAUGAACCAUAUGUGUCUUUUUUUCAUGACAAUUAAAUAAUCUCUCAUAAAUGGACCUUGAAUCCCUAAAUAUAAAGACAAUAGUAGACCGAAAAACCUAGAAAGGAUAGGAAAUUUUUUUUGUUUUUCUUCUCCAACACCAAGAAACAUCGCAGAGGUGAAAUUAGUAAACGAAAUAAAUCAAUGGUUAGAAACAACAAAAAUCAAGAAUUGGCCUAACAGAUCUUUCAAACUAAUUUUUGUAACUAUUUGUAUGGCCACCCAUUAUGCCAAAAAAAGAAGAAGCAACCUUUGCUCGUUAACUGGUCUCUGAUACUAAUUUUUAAACGAUUUGCAUGACCAUCCAUUACUGGUAAAUAAAAAAAAAACCUUUAUUCAUUAAGUUUUGUUUUGACAACAUAAACACUGUCUCUGUAUAUCAAAAAAGAAAAAAAAAAUAAGAGACAUAAAAAAUAAACAACAGAACUCGCAUGUUAAGAGUUUAUAAGGAAAAGUGCAGGAAUGCAGGAUUAAAACUUGUAAAAUACAACAUUGAAAAAUAAAUUUACAUGGAGAAGCAUGAAAUAGGAACAAAACAAAAAUAUCUUGCAGGAUCCUAUUUUCUUGAAAGAAACUGGGAUGACUUGAAAUGUCAACAGAGGUUAACCGAAUAAUCGGUGGGAAUCCCCCUCACUAAUGACUCAGCUCCAAAAAAAGCAUUCUCGUGGAAAUAGAGCAACGAAAACAAAAUUAAAAAAUACAGAGCAAUUAAAAUCUUGAAGACUAAAAUUAAGGGUUUAAAAAAUACAAAGCAACUCAAAUUUGUAUUGUUGGGGGUUGCCUUUGUUUGGCAGACAAUUUUUUUGUCCUAUUUUGAUUGCUACAGUUUAUUCAUUUUUUUAAAAUAGUGUUGGUAUAAUUUUAUUGCAUCUCAAUUGUUAAUAUAUCUCAGCAUCACAUGGUAUAUUCUAAUUUUUUUUUACACCACGAUGAAACUCUCAAAAGUCGAGCUCUUAUAUAUCUAGAUUACAGAAAUUGUAAAAUAGAGAAUUGAAAUCCGGUAUUGGUACUGGCUUAAUAAUUAAAGUGGAUAAUUUCUAUUGGCCACUUUAUUUUCCUUACAUCUAAUAAAUGGUCUAGAUCGAGUGCUAGGCAAAAGAAACGGCUAACAUUUUCUGGGCAAGAUAAAAUCCUUGCAAUAUUUGCAUGUCAUAACAGAUGCCUUAUGCACUAAACAAAUAGUUGGCCAGUGGCUUAUAUGUGCUAAAAUUGAAAGCCAUAUAUUAAGUAUUAUGGAAACAAAAUGCAACAAAGUGCCCUCUCAGCCCUUCCAUGCACAAUAAUUUGAGAUGCAGACAACAACAUGAAUACAGUAAUUUCUCACAACACAAUCUUAAAAGCAAAAAACAGAGGCAUGUUCUAACCUUGAAGUUUAAGUCCUCUCCUGAAAGAUGAUCUGAUAGAGGAAAUGAAGAGUAGUAGCAACCAAGAAAAACCGAUGAUAAAUAACAGGGAAAUGGAAAAAGACUAAUGCAUAAAAUCGACAACAAACCAACAGGCAAUUAUGGGUGAAAUAAAAAAGAAGAAACGAUGAAGAACCUAAGAACCAAUGCACGGUAAAAAAAAGUACUACCCUGAAAAAACAUGCAAAUGAAAAAUAAGAAAGCAUGACAAAUUGGCAUGCACUAAAAAAAAAACACAUCCCACUUGAACCCUCGACAACGCUACUUGUUGAUAAAAGCUAACCCAACCCAAAAAAUAAAAGUUGCACAAAAAACACCUUAUAAUAUCAUAAGAGAGCUGGGAGUCGAGAGAAUUGAAUUACUAAAAAACACUCCAGAAGAGCACCACCCAUGCAAUAAAGCAAUUACAGAAAAAAAAAAAAAAAAACAAAAAAAACAAAAAGGGCUUGCCAAUUAUACUAACCAAAAUAGAAGUGCUAACUAAAUCAUAACAAGAAAUAACAAAGAGGUAAGGGCAAGUAUGUAUGUAUAAUGAUGUCAAUGUCAUAUUCAUUUAAUACACAACUCCACAGCUAGCUAUGCAUAUAUUUUAUCCCCAUGCCUAAGCCAUUGGUGAACACAGCUUCCAAAACACGAAAAUCAGUUGUGUAAGCUCAUUGUCUCUUGGCAUGUUCCUUUAAUUAUUUUCAAGCUGAUGGCAAGUCAGAAAAUCUAGCAACCCCCUCAACUGUAGAGAAGAAGGGAAGACCCAAUUGCAGAGAAAGAGAAAAGACAAUGUAAAUUUUCAAAGCAUUUAAUGCACCAAUAUCAUGAUCUCGCUUCUGUAAGUCAAAUACUUUCCAAGCUAAAAAAAAAACCAGACAUCUAGCUACAGUGUAGUAAUAAUAUAAUAAUAACUAUAAAAAAAAUGUUUUGUGGGGAAAGCUACAGUGCUUUCCCCACGUGUUUUAGAGUUCUUUUAAUAAUCUUAGAGAGCCUCCUGUUAAAUAAUACAUUUAUCUUGUUUUAUUUAGUAAUGGUAGAAUAAUAUUUUUAGCUUAGCCUAUAUAUAAGAUCUUUGUAUUUAGGUUAAAUAAUAUACUUUUCAUAUAUCAACAAAAGGAGAAUUCUAGCCUCCCUCUCUUUCGUGUUCGUAUUUAUUUUGUGUUAAUUGAAUUGGUAUCAGAGCUGGUUUUAUAGAACGAGACUUAAUCUCAAACACAACUUUCACGUAUUUAUAAACAAAUUUUUUUUUAGUGAUAUUUUGUCUUCCGCUUCUACAAAAAUUGGUAUUUCAUGUUUCCUUCAGCUUCUGCAAUUUGAUAUUUGCGUUCAAUUUCUGCAAUUAUUUUGGUAUUUUGUCUUCCCUUCUAUUUGUGCAAUUUGGUAUUUGCGUUCAGCUUCUGCAAAUUUGUUUUGUGUUUUGGCAUAAUCGUAGAAAUUCAAGAAGAUAUUUGUUUAGUUUCUACAAUCUCUGUUCAGUUUCUGCAAUUUGGUAUUUUCUGCAAUCUCUGGCGUAAUCGUAUAAUAAUAUUUUCUGCAAUCAUAUAACCUUUUAUCUUAAUCGUAUAACGCAGACGCAUAGGUAGGGCAACCCAAGCGUUCAAUUUCUGCAAAUUUGUUUUGUUUUUUGGUUGCCUGCCCUUGCGCUGGGUUAGACCCGAGUGCUAUGUGGCGCUGGGGCUGGCUUGCCAAGAGCGCACACCCAUACCCGUGCGCCAUGUGGCGAGACCUAGCGCUUGGGCUACCCUGCCUAUACGCCUGCGUCAGGAUCCAAUGGUAAUUGGCCGUUGUCAGGACCCAAUUCGCUUCGGUCCUGCGCUAGGACCUAAUGGUAAUGGGUCCUGCGCUGGACCUAAUGGCGAUUGGUCUAGUGCAGGACCUAAUGGCAAUGGGUCUUCCGCAUGAUCCAAUAGUAAUGGAUCUUGCCUCAAGACCCAAUUCGCUUGGGUCCUCGCCAGGACCCAAAUAAUUUAUGUUAUAAAUAUUCUUCAGUUUUCUUAAUAUAAUAAUAUAUGUUAUAAAUAUUAUUAUUUUUCUUAUAAUUCAAAGUGUUCAUAUCAAAAAUACUAUUAUUUGUGUUAUAAAUAUUAUUAUUUGUAUUAUAAUUAAUAUUAUUAAUAAAAUAAUUAAUAAAGUUGAAAAAAAAAUAUUAUUAAUAUUAAAAAAAUAUUAUUUUUUAUAUUAUAAAUUUUUACAGUAUUUUUUAUAAAAAUAAAAGGAAUAAAAAUAAAGAGAUGGCGCGAAUACGGAACAUGCAUCCGUACUCUGGUACUAUAAUCUUUAUACUAAGACAGCCACAAGGAAGCAAAGCCCACCUCCUUGAAUUGUAAUUCGUGAAAGCCAUGGAAUUCUGUCAAACCAAAAUCAAAAGUAGCCUAUCCUACGAGGUCCAUCUUGUUCUAUUUUUGAAAACUUCUCAACUUGCUGAUAGUUAUCGAGUUCAGUGGCUCAGCCAGGUAAGCUUGAGUUCUUGCUGAUAAUUCUUGUGCCACAAAAUGCAUGGUGGGCCGUGCCUCUGGCUUGGUUUGUGUGCAUGCUAAGGCCACUGUAACUACGAAAACAACUUCCUCUGCUGCUUGGCCUGUGGGAGCUUCGAGCCGCGGGUCUAGCACAUCCUUUAGAAACAACUCUGGAUCGCUUGACAAUGGUGGUUUCAUUGAUGACAAUGAAGAUAAGAGGUCUCCCGGGUGCCUUCCCAUCAUGACUUCCAAAGCAACCACCCCAAAGCUAUACACAUCGCAUUUGUCUGUGACCCGCAUUGUUUGUGCCAGUUCUGAAAUCACCAGGCAAUCAAAAUGAACAUUUGAAACAUCCAGUAUGAAAGUUUUUAACAUCAUGCCAUGUUUCUCAUUUCCUUGUUGUACACAUGUUAUAGCUUUUAUAAUUUUAGAGCAGAUACUCAAAUGACAAGAACACAAAUCAAGAACAUAGGAUUGUUGUCUUACCUGGAGCCAUGUAGCCAUAAGACCCAGCAACUGCAGUCCAGUUGGAGGAAUCUGUAUUCAAGAGUCUUGCUGUGCCAAAAUCCGCAAGACGUGGCUCAAAAUCUGUCUCUAGCAAAAUGUUGUUCAGUGAUAUGUCACGGUGCAAGUAGGCAAUUGCAUGAGCAACUCCUCGCACUGUAUUCACUCUCCUGCCCCAACCAAGCUCCACUUCCCCUUCUAUCCCAUACAACACUUUUCCCAGACUUCCUCUUUCAACAUGCUCGUAAACCAGGUACAAGCAGCCCCUCCUGGAGCAAAACCCAUAAAGCUUUAUGAUGUUCCGGUGCCUACCUUCUGUCAGCAUUUGAAUCUCAUUCUCGAAACUCUGGCGAUUGGUUGCUGGGAUGUCACUGGAGUCUGACAUGUUGAGUUUCUUGACCGCAACUACUUGACCUGUAGACAAUACUGCUUUGUAAACACUACCAAAUCCUCCUCUUCCAAUGCAGUACUUCUCGUUGAAGUCAUCAGUGGCCUUGACAAUAUCCCCCAAAUGUGAAUUUGCUUUCUCUUUCCCAUAUCACUGACUUGGAACUCUCACCAUUGUUGACUAUUUUGGUCUCUUCAUCAAGCAGUUUGGUUUUUCGGAAACAUAGCAUAACAGCAAAGAUAGUUGCUAUUACUAAUAAGCCACAAACCGGAACGAUAACACCAAUAAGAACCUUUUUGUUAUCCUUCAAGGUCUUGCUACUGUCUGUUGUUGGACAUUGUGAUAGUCCUUCACCGCACAAUCCUGAAUUUCCAACAAAAGAUCUUGCGGAUGCAUUUUUGAAAAUGCUUCCAGUUGGUAUACGACCUGUCAACUCAUUGUAUGAGAAAUCAAAAGAAGACAGGCUAACCAUGGAAGACAGCGAAUCUGGGAUUCUUCCUGAGAGAUGGUUAUGUGAGACAUUGAGAGUCUCCAACCGCGAUAGCUUUCUAAAAUUUUGAGGUAUGGCUCCUGAGAGUGAGUUGCUGCUAAGAUCCAACAAGUACCGCAACGAGUUUAAGUUGCCCAGUUCAAAAGGUAUUUCACCAGCAAGGUUGUUGUGGCUCAAGUUCAAGCUUGAUAGCUUCUCAUAACUCCCAAGCUCUUUUGAUAUGUUUCCAGUCAGCUUGUUAUCAGAUAAGUCGAGAGAUUCAAGGCCUAGCAAGGUGCUUAGACUCUGAGGUACCUCCCCUGUCAAGUGAUUGUUGCUCAAAUUGAGGUUGAAUAACAUGCUCAGAUUUCCCAGUUCAGCAUGAAUCCUCCCAGUCAGGUCAUUGGAGCCCAGACUUAGAACUCGCAGCUGGGGCAACUUCCCAAGCUCAGCAGGGAUUUCCCCAGAAAUUCUGUUUCCGUCCAUCUGUAAAUUGGUGAGGUUUUUACAUUCUCCCCAAUCUGGUGAGAUUUCACCAAUAAAUUGAUUGUAACUGAGGGCAACAAAAACAAGUCUUUCCUGCAGCUCCACCUCUCGAACAGUCUCUCAAAUAAACCUUCGCAGCCUAAACAUAACUGGAACACUCGCCCAUUUCAACUUCACCCCUUUUACUGGUCUCACCAAGUUUGACAUCCAGAAUAUCAACGUCAAUAGAACGAUACAUCAGCCAUUGGCAGCCUCUCCAACCUCACUCACUUGGACCUCAGUGUCAACUUCUUCGAGGGCAGCAUACCUGUGGAGAUAUCUCAGUUGACAGAGCUUCGGUAUCUUAGUCUUUACAACAACAAUCUCAACGGUAUCAUCCCCUUUCAACUUGCCAAUCUUCCCAAGGCAAGACACUUGGACCUUGGAGCAAACUACCUGGAAAAUCAAUUUCCACUUCUGGUGGAAUUUUACCGUUGAUGUUAUUUGAGAAAAGAUUCAGGAUUUGAAGAUUUGUGAGAUUCCAUAAUGCUGGAGGAAGGGGGCCUGAAAGCUGGUUUCCUGAAAGGUCUAGACUUAAUAACUCCUUCAAGUUUCCUAUCUCCGGGGGAAUGGAACCAGAGAAUGUGUUAUUAUACAGAAAAAGGUAUUGAAGCAUUGUCAAUUUCCCAAUUUCUGGAGGAAUAUUUCCAGAAAACAAAUUGUUUUGAACCUGAAGCGAGAUCAAUUCAGUCCAGUUGGAUAUAAGGGUAGGUGAGAUCUCACCGGAGAGAGAGUUUUCAGAUAAACCCAUAUCUGCUAUUUUAGCUAGAUUGGACAAAGACAAAGGCAAUUCCCCACUUAGUUGAUUAUCAGCCAAGGUCAAGUAGGUGAGGUUAGUGCAAAGACCAAGCUCAGGAGGGAUCGUUGAGUUCAAGGCAUUCAUCCGGAGAUCAAGCUUUUCAAGAUGCUUAAGUUGGCCUAUAGAAGGUGGAAUAUUUCCUUGGAAAGAAUUGCCGAACAACUCAACAAUUUGAAGACCAGAUAUCGAACCAAUGCUUUCGGGAAUUUGACCACUCAACAGGUUAUUUUGUAGACUGAUGUUUUUGAGAUUGGAAAGCUUCGAAAUGUUGGAUGACAAUGGUCCUAGGAAUGAAUUAUUAUAGAGAUUCAAGGCCUCAAGCUUUCCCAGAUUGGUAUAGACCAAUUCUGGUAUUUGGCCUGUGAAUUUAUUGAGUGACAAAUCCAGAAACGUCAAGUUCCGGCAAUUGGUUAUAAAAUGGGGGAAUUCUGCAGUAAGUUCAUUGAGAAAAAAACUAAGAUAUUCCAAAGAAGGCAUGGAAAACUUGGACCAGUCAGGGUUUUCGAGGUAGUUUGCUCCUAGGUCCAAGUGUCUUACCUUGGGAAGAUUGGCAAGUUGAAAGGGGAUGAUACCGUUGAGAUUGUUGUUGUAAAGACUAAGAUACUGAAGCUCUGUCAACUGAGAUAUCUCCACAGGUAUGCUGCCCUCGAAGAGGUUGCACUGAGGUCCAGUGAGUGAGCUUGGAGAGCUGCCCAUGCUGAUGGUAUCGUUCCAGUGACGNNNNNNNNNNNNNNNNNNNNNNNNNNNNNNNNNNNNNNNNNNNNNNNNNNNNNNNNNNNNNNNNNNNNNNNNNNNNNNNNNNNNNNNNNNNNNNNNNNNNNNNNNNNNNNNNNNNNNNNNNNNNNNNNNNNNNNNNNNNNNNNNNNNNNNNNNNNNNNNNNNNNNNNNNNNNNNNNNNNNNNNNNNNNNNNNNNNNNNNNNNNNNNNNNNNNNNNNNNNNNNNNNNNNNNNNNNNNNNNNNNNNNNNNNNNNNNNNNNNNNNNNNNNNNNNNNNNNNNNNNNNNNNNNNNNNNNNNNNNNNNNNNNNNNNNNNNNNNNNNNNNNNNNNNNNNNNNNNNNNNNNNNNNNNNNNNNNNNNNNNNNNNNNNNNNNNNNNNNNNNNNNNNNNNNNNNNNNNNNNNNNNNNNNNNNNNNNNNNNNNNNNNNNNNNNNNNNNNNNAAUAUAGUUAAGUCUCGUUGAUUUUUUAUACGCAUUCGUUAAUUCCAUCACAUGAUGACCAAGACCUCUCUUUGAUAAUGAUGGUCACUUUAAAUUAAUUUAUGAACUAUUUUUUUUGAAUUUCAACUUUAAUAUCAACACUUGGAAGAAUCUAUUCCUCUAAAUUAAUUAGAAUCAUAUGAAGAUGGUAGAUUAAAAUAUUUAAAGAAAAAAUAAUUUAGUUUUGAUUUUGGAGGAUAUUCAUUAACCUUGAAUAUAAAAAAAUAUUAUAUUUUUCCUUACCUUUCUUGUAGAUAUUUAACAUCAAAACCUAAAGAUUCAUAAUUAAACUAUGUAUAAUCUAGGUAUAGAUGUAUAAAACUCAGUUAUAAAACUUUGUCUAUAUUUAUCUGUUAUUGGACUAACCUGAACCGAGUGAGUGUUUAGAAUUGUGAUAUUUUUUAUUUUUUAUUAUAAUAUUAUUUUUAAUAAUUUUUAAAGAUUUUAAUAAGUUGAUAUAAAAAAUAAUAAUAAAAAAUAUUUUAAUAUAUUUUUAAAUAAAAAAUAAUUUUACUAAAUUCUCUGCACUAUAAUACUAAAAAUAUACUGAACUUUUUUUUUUUUUUUAAAUAUUGUUUAGGGUUUUCAAAAAAGUGAAGGAUUAUCUUGGUCUUCCCACUAAUGGACCCACUCUAUAGUAUAAAGCUAAGAAGAUUGACUCUAAUUUGAGCUCAUAAUUAAGCCAGUCAAACUGCCCCACAAAGUCAGUCCACUUUUGAACUUUCAAAAAAAAUCAAAAUCAAAAUUAAAUGAACUUGGAGAAACUUGGUGAAUCAAUUGACCUUAGGGUUCUAUCAAAACUAAAAAUUUAUAGCACAAAUAACUAUAUUAAGAAAUUUAAGAAUAUUUAUAACACAAAUAAUAAUAUUUUUAUAUUAAUACUUUGAAUUAUAAUAAAAAUAAUAUAUUUAGAAACCCAAGAAUAUUUCUAACACAAAUAAUAAUAUUUUUUAUAUGAAUAUUAAAAAAAAACCAGUGCAGUUAAUUGAUUUCACUCACACUGUUCACGUGAACGUGAACGUGAACAAUAAUUUUUUUUUUGUUUUUUAAAAAAAUUAGUUUAAGGUGAAUUAAAUUUACUCGUACUGUAAUCUCAAUUUUAUUCCUGAUAAUAUUUUACCUAAUUUUAUAGUUCUUGUCGAAUGAAUUUUGUACGUAAUGGAAUUGUAGAUAGUUUAAUGGAACAAUAAAUUUUUUUAAUAUAAAGUAUGAUUUAUUUCAUGAUAUAAUAGCAAUAGUUAAAUCCACAAUAUUUAAAUUAAAAAUCAUCAAUAUUAAUAUAUAUAUUUUUUAAAUUAUUUUAUAACCUCAAUUUCAAAAGCAUUCUUAACCAAACACAUUAAACUACUUUUUCUUCAACCUCAAUUUCAACCACAAUUUUAACCAAACACCUAUUUUUUCAAACCACAACAACUAUCACAAUACCAAAUCAACACACUAAACUAUUUAAGUAAUAGCUAAAUAAACUUUCCUAUUUAAAAUCAAAUCAAGUCAAACAAAUUUUAAAACCUAACUAAGAAAUGAAUCUGAAAAUAACCAUAUAAAUAAAUAAAAUUAUUAAACAACAACUUUCAAACCUAAUUUUGGCUUGAUAUUGACUUUCAAUGGUGCUAACAGGAUAAAAUUAUAUUUUUUUCGUUAAAAAACUCAUUAGGCCUCUCCAUACUUUUUAAAAGUGUUUUUUAUUUUAAAAUAUAUUAAAAUAAUUUAUUUUUAUUUUUAAUACCAACAUAUUAAAACACCAAAAAAAUCAUCGAUUUCAUGAUUUUCCACAUUGUAUAUAUUUUUAAAAAAUACUAAAAAAUAAAAGCCACAACACUCUCAAAUAGUCCAAAAAGAUUCAUUUAAAGUUAACUCAAGUUUUGGUUUUAGAAGAAGAAAUUCAAAAUAAAAUUAGUUUAUAUUUCUUUUUAAUAAAAAAAACCAAGUUUUGGGCCAAACCUUAAAUUAAUACUGAAAAAUUAAUACUAAAAAAACACCAUGCUUUGUUAAAUAAAAUAUGAAAUCAUAUGUAAAAUAAAAUUUAAAGAUUCAAAGCUAAAAUCAUGAAAUUAAUACUAAAAAAACACCAAAUUAAUAUUUUGUUAAGUAAAAUAUACUUUUGAAAUGCUUCUAAAAAUAAAAGCCAUGGCACGUUUAAAACACUUGUGAAUGAAUGGCUUGAUUAAAGUAACAUAUGAAGAUCUUAAUUAAUAACUCUAUUGACUUAAACAAAAGUAAUUAUGAUCUUAAUUAAUAAUUCCAUCGACUAUCAAUUUCUUCUCCGUGGGUGGCCUGUAGCCAUGCCUUAUCUAAAAAAAGAAAAAAACACUCAUAAUAGAUUUUGUUUUAUUCUAUACUGGUUAGGUAGUCAGCGUUACGCUGUGGGCUCAUAUAUCAUUUUAUUAAAAAAAUAUUAUAAAAAUUUAAGACCUAAAAACAUUGGAUUCGACUGUAACAUCGGACUCAAGAGCAUUGAAUUUGGUUGCAACACAAAACCCAACAAUAAUAUUUAUAAUAUUAAUAAUAAUAUUUAACUUGUCUGUCAAUUUUUUUAUUUUUUUUAAUCUUUCAAAAAACAUUUAUUUUUAUUUUAACUUGUCUGUCAAAUUUUUUAUUUUUUUUAAUCUUUCAAAAAACAUUAUGGUAAUUUUAUACUUCAAAUUUAUUAAUUAUAAUAAUAAUAAUAUUAACAACACAAAUAAUACUAUUUUUAAUAUUAAUACUUUUAAUUAUAAUAAAAAUAAUAUUAUUUAUAACAAAAAUAAUAAUAUUUUUGAUAUUAAUACUUUUAAUUAUAAUAAUAAUAAUAAUAAUAAUAAUUAUUAUUAUUAUUAUUAUUAUUAUUAUAAAAAUAAUUAUAUUUAGAAACCUAAAAGCUUUGGAUUCUGACACAGCCCAAGGGAAUUAGAUCUUGACGCAUGACUUAUUAGCCUUGGAUCCUGAUGCAGGACCUAAGAGAUUGAGUCCUGAUGAAGGACCAAUAAUUUUGGGUCAGGCGGGGUUGCAGACCCAAUGGAUUUGGGUUUGCGCCCUAGCCACACCCAAGCUCCCUUAGGUGUGGUUCCUUUUUCCGGCUUCAAGUUUCUUGGGUCUGGAAGAGAAUGCAUGACCCAAGAGAAAAGAAAAAAAAUGAAAAAAAAAUUAUUGAUGUGUCCUUGGAGAGAUAGGACCCAAGCUGAUGGGUCAUGCUUCUGCUGGACCCAACUUAAUAUCAGACCCAAUCUUAAUAUAUUUUAAAAAAAUUAAAAAAUACAAAACAUCAAAAAUAUUAAUUUGAAAUAAAAAAAACAAUAAAAAAUUUCAAUUUUUUUUCAAAGAAUUUUUUAAACACAAAACCAAACAUACUUUAAUAAGAAAAUUCAACCUCAUCUGAAAUGAAAAACAAUUAUCAUCACCCAAUUUUGUAUAAUAUGAAAACAAAAGUCACAUUAAUUUAUUUUCUCUUUAUAGUAUGAAAAAAAUUCAAUAAAAGAAAAGAAAAAAAGUUUCAAGAGGUAAAAAAAUAAAAUUAGAAAUAUUUUAAAAUAUUUUUUUUAAAAUAUAUUGAGAUAAUAUUUUUAAUUUUUUUAAAUCUAUUUUAUAUAUAAUCACAUCAAAAUAUUAUAAAAACAUCUUAAUAUGAAUUAAAUGGAAAAAAUUAAUUUGAAGUAAAGAAAAAAAUAAAAAAUUAUCAAUUCUUUUUCAAAGCAUUUUUUAAAACCAAAACCAAACAUGCUUUAAUAAGGAAAUUUAACCCCACCUAAAAUGAUAACAAUAAAUAAUAAUUUUUUUUUCAAUUUACUAAUGAUAACAAUAAAUAAAGAUAAAAAUAAAAUAAUUCUUAAGUUUACCUUUCAAAUCAAAUCUAUUAUUUCUUUUCUAUAUUAAUAAUAUUUUUUCUGAUUUAUUAAUUAUUAUGUUAGUAAUAUUAAUUAUACUCAAAAUAAUAAUAUUGAUAAUACAAAUAAUAGUAUUUUGAAUAUUAAUAAUAUUAAUUAUAAUAAAAAUAAUAUUAUUUAUAAGAAUAAUAAUAAAAAUAAUUUUAAUAUUAAUACUUUUAAUUAUAAUAACCAAGUGUAAAGUGAUAAAUAUGUUAAAUAUAAGGAAUUUGUUUUUCAAAAAAAAGUGUGAAGAAAAAAAAAGAAAACUAAACAAAUAUCACAAAAAAAUAAAGAUAAGAAAAACAAAUUGUGAUAAAUAGGUAAAUUAUAAAAUGAUAAAAAUUUCAAGUAUAAAGAGAUAAAUAUUAAGAAAUUUUUUUUCAAAAAAUAUAAUAAUGAAAAUUAAAAAUUUACCACUACUACGGUAAGAAAUUUGAAGAAAAUUUCAAUUGUACCAUUUCUACAAUAAUUUGUUUUUACAAAAAAAAGUGUAAAGAAAAAAAUAAGGAAAAACUAAAAAACAUAUUACAAAAGAAUAAAUAUAAAAAAUAGUGAUAAAUAGAUAAAGUGUAAAAUAAUAAAAAUAUCAAGUAUAAAAAGAGAAAAAGAAUAAAAAAACAAAUUGUUUUUUUUUUUUAAUAAAAACCUCAAAAAUUACAAUUUUGCUACUGCUAUCUAUCGUAAAAUUUACAAUUAUGCAAUUUCUACGUGAAAACAUCAUUUCCUAUAAUAAUAACCUAGAAUUUGAAUUUUCAACUCCUAAUUAAUUGCUUUUUUGCUAGCUUAAAAAUAUAAUAAUAAAAAUAUUAUUUUUAUAUAUCUAGUAAUUAAUAACCUUAAAAGAUUUGAUAAUUUACUUGUGUAUGCCAAGAUAAAAUAAACAAGUCCUACAUUAACAGUAAAAAAUCAGUUUGGUAACUAAGAAAGUGUAUUUUUUUUUUAUUUUUAGGAUUUAAACUUUAAUAUCAACACUUGGAAGAACCCAUUCCUCUAAACUUAUCAGACUAAUAUGAAAAUUAUUUAUUAAAUAUUUUUUUAAAAGAGAAUCUAGUUUUUUUUUUUUGCAUAUAAAUUAGUUUGAGGAUAUUCAUUAACCUCAAAUAAAAAAAAUAUAUUUUAUCUUAUAUUUCCUUACAGAUAUGAAAAAUUAAAAUUGAAAGCUUAACUAUGUAUAAUCCAGGAAUAGUCAGGGUUAACCAGUAAAUGAUUUUUUUUAAACCAUGUGUCAAGGGCUUAAAAAAAAAGCAUAUUGAAUCUCAUCAAUCCUUUUUUUAUGAGGAAUCCAAGGUAAAUUCAGAGAACAAGGAGACUGUGAACUCUUGGUAUCCUUGGAGUCUUCAUCAAUUCUGUAGUAUUUAUUAUGUACAACUCUCUCUCUCUCUCUCCUUUUAUUUUUCUCCAGGCAAAUAUAUUAUUAUUAUUAUUAUUAUUAUUAUUAUCAACAAUAAAUUAAAAGAGUUAAAAAUUAAAUUUAAUAAUUUAUUUUAAUUUAUUUUCUAUAGAAUUAUCACAGUUUCAUAACCUUGAUCACGAGUUUGACAGAUCAACCCAAACUAACUCAAGUCAUUUUUUAUGUUUAUUUUCUAUAAAUAUAUUUCAAUCUCAUGACUUAAGUUAAACCAGAUCGAUUUUUUAAUUGAUUUUUCUCAAUUUCAUUCUUUAACACUAGGUUGAUUGAGAAUUGAACUUUAUAAUUUACUUUAAUCUUCUUUAUAUGGAGUAUCAUAAUCUCAUGAUCUGGUUGUGAAUCUAAUAGGUUAACCCAGAUUUUCCCCAAUCUAUCCAAUAUAUUUUUAUUUUAAUAUUUUAUUUUAAAAAAAUAUUGUCUUGAAUUUUUGAGAGUCGAAUUAUAUUUUUUUUAUGGCUGUUUAUGUUGUUUUUUUACUCAUCAAAUUGAUUAGAUUACGUCAAUUACUAGAAAAACAUUA